rnacentral:lncRNA from 1 species
UUAUAGGUAGCUAGCUGGGGGGGUGACCUGUUAGAUCGUGGAAUUUUGACUGUUUCUCUUGCCCCCAGAGACAAUCAUGAGGCUCAAGUUCAAUUUGCACUUGAACGUGGCAUUCCAGCAAUUCUAGGCAUUAUCUCCACUCAGCGUCUUCCUUUCCCGUCAAGUUCAUUUGAUAUGGCGCACUGCUCUAGAUGUCUUAUCCCGUGGACAGAAUUUGGUAAUUCCUUUUUUCUUUUCAUCUCUCUUUAACUGUCCAAGAUUUUUGAAUGGUUCCGCAGUAUUUGAGUGGUCAUUCUAUGUCUUGUGCAGUUAUAUUGAUUUUUGAAUGGCCGUGAUCAAUUUCCUUUUGAAGAAAGAUUGUCUAACUUGAAGCUAUUUUUCUAGGUGGAAUUUACCUGCUAGAAAUACACCGAAUCCUACGGCCUGGUGGCUUUUGGGUGCUCUCUGGACCGCCAGUAAACUAUGAAAACCGAUGGCGUGGUUGGAACACCACAGCAGAAGAACAAAAGGCUGAUUUCGACAAAUUAAAAAAAUUACUAACCAGCAUGUGCUUCAAACUCUACACAAAAAAGGACGACAUAGCGGUGUGGCAAAAAGCCACCGAUAACAGCUGCUAUGAUAAGCUCACUCCCUCUUCUUACCCUCCAAAGUGUGAUGACAGCUUGGAUCCUGACUCUGCAUGGUACACUCCAAUGCGCUCUUGCUUAGCCAUCCCAAAUCCUAAAUUCAAGAAAUUGGCCGUAAAAUCUACACCCAAAUGGCCCGAUCGGUUGCAUAUUGCUCCGGAGAGAGUUUCCGUGGUACCAGGUGGGAAUUCUGGUGGAUUUAAGCACGACGAUAGUAAAUGGAAGGUGCGGGUGAAACACUACAAGUCCUUGCUCCCUGCUCUUUGGAGUGAUAAGAUCCGAAAUGUUAUGGAUAUGAACACAUUGUACGGAGGAUUUGCAGCGGCACUCAUCAAAGAUCCUGUAUGGGUUAUGAAUGUCGUCUCUUCAUAUGGAUCGAAUUCGCUCGGCGUGGUCUAUGACAGGGGAUUAAUUGGGACCUACCAUGAUUGGUAAGCAAUAUAUUUCAAUACCAUGCAUUUUGGAAAGUUUCAUGCCAAAGUUCGUAGCCUAGAAGCCUGGCAGUUUCCAUGUUGCUAAUAUCUAAAACAGCAAUACCUUUUUGUGCUAUUAAAAAUACUCAUUUCAGUUCGUUAAGUUAUAUAGGAUGGGAUAUAUCUUAGUUGCUCAAGUCAUACAAAAUUGGACAAUGUCAUAACCUUUUAUACAAGGCCUCAUGACUAAUUGAGAACUAGCACGUUAAAAAUAAUUGCGCUUGCUAUAGUAUUUCUGUCACUUAUCUAUGAUCUUCUAUCCUUAGGUGUGAGGCAUUCUCAACGUACCCACGCACGUAUGAUCUCUUGCAUCUCGAUGGUUUGUUCACUGCUGAAAGUCACAGGUAAAUUACGCGAACCCUGCUAUCAUCUAUUGCUUCUUUGGCACAAAUUUAUGAAUGUGCAACAAAGUAACACAAAACAACCCUGGAUUGCAUUUUGGCAGAUGUGAGAUGAAAUAUGUGCUCCUUGAGAUGGAUCGAAUCCUACGUCCCAAUGGCUAUGCGAUAAUCCGUGAAUCCAGCUACUUCAUCGACUCUAUAGCAACCAUCGCCAAAGGAAUGAGAUGGGGUUGCCAGAAGCAAGACACCGAAUACAAUGUAGAUAAGGAGAAAUUGUUAAUAUGUCAGAAGAAGCUUUGGUAUGCAAAGCACAGCGACCAAUGAGAACGCAAGGCCCAACUAUGAAGGUUUCUAGAAUCCUCUCGAAGAAGUAUAGGAGUCAAAGACUAUUGGUAUUCUUGGAAUAGAGACAUUCAAUUUGGCAAAGGAAAACGGUUGCUCAUAAACCCCACAAUAUUUUUCGUAAAUUACAGGGUUCUUUUAGAUUGUGGUUACAUAUAUUCUUUACCGGAUUACAUCAGCAAGAUGAAAUUAAUUUUGUUUUUAUAUGUUUUUGUGUAGUUUCAGUCGUAUUUGUGGUCUCAAUAAGUGAAGUAUCACAGUUAAAGAGCAGGAUGUAUUUUUAGAUAAUAUCAGGUGUUAUUAUUGAUGUUAUAUAUAUCCGGCAUAAGUUUUUUUUCUUUUGUCCUUUUCAAGCAAAAGUUGAUUGUAAGCUUACAACGGAAUCAUCCAAUGGCCUCUCAAAACUGAAAAAUAGUUUUUUAAAUCAUAAGGCAUAUAUGAUUACAAUCUUUGGAUCAAGUGAGUUGUAGAUUUAGCAUCUCUCUCUCUCUCUCUCUCUCUCUCUCUCUCUCUGUGCUGGAGCAGGUGAGGGGUCAGCUGGAGGUUACAAAGAGUUUCGGUCUGAUUAUAGUAGCUAGUAGUUGGCUAGUCACGAAACUGCUAGUUUCAUUUCUUAAAAAUUAUUAUAUAGUUAAAUUUAAUAAUAUCCUAUUCUUUGUAAGAAAAUAUUAUAACUGAUUGAAUUGAUUUAAAUUAAAUAAGACAAAAAUUUAAAAAUGUGUUAAUCAACAAAACUUCAGGAUGUAAGCAUGCACAUUCCAAAGUAAAAUGUAUCUUCUACCCACACUUCAUCAAAGAUCAUUAAGUUUUUAGUUUUUAUUUGUCACAUUAACCUUUUAAUAAAAAAUUACUUAAUAUAUGGAUUUUUGGAAUGUACAAAUAAAAUUUUUUAUUUAUGAAUAGCGUGGUCUAGGAAGCCUACAAACAUUCUUAUCUUCAUCAAGUGAGUGGAUCUAAUAAGCUUGUGAACACCGUUUGGUACUUCGUUCGAGGAGACUUGCACAUCCCACCAAAGAAUAAUAAACGCCGAGAACUCCUUUGUCCCCCCCCCNCCAAACACCGCCAUGGAAAAAAUAAUAAUAAAAAAUAGUGCACCCUACUCCACUCCAAGGACCUCGGGUGGGGACUGGGGACCAGAGCGUCCGGUUCACUCACCGGUCGGCUUAAUUUUAUUCCGGUCGACAUUAUGAACCGGAAACGUGGCAUCAGCGUGUCCGCCGCAUCGCCAGCGCAGAUGGAUGGAUCGCCGUCCGUUGGACCCCACACUUGCCACCUCUUUAGUUAUCCAACCCCUCAAUCAAGAACUAAUAAAUGAGUAGCAAUGGAUCCCCCUGUCCACAGAAUAAGUGACAAAAUACUUGUGGUUGAUAUUUAAUAUUUUAAAUUUAAAUUUUAAUUAAUUAAUUUUUUAAAUUAAAUUUAUUUUUUAAAAAAAUAAAUGAAACAGAUAGUAUACUAUAUUUCUCUUUUUCAGAAAUAAAAGUAACAAUGAAAUCUCUCACUAGAAGACAAGUUUCUCUCACAUUCCCAACCAUCAAGUUCCCCAUGAGCGCCGCAGCACUUUCACAAUUUUAUAUAAAAAUAAUAUUUGCAUAUUCAAAAUUUGAAUGUAAAAUUUGGAUUUAUUUACUCACACAAUUAUGGAUUAUAUAUUGUUAAAUUUUUAGUAUUAAAAAAGUUUAAGAAUAUGAUAUGAUUAGCAUAAAAAAAACAAGUCUUUUGGAUUGAGAGCAUACAAAAUUUAGUGGAGCUGUGGCAAUUUAAAUUUGCCUACAACUAUUAUAUGUGUGAGAAAAUUAAAUUUUUUGUGCUAUACAUGUCGACAUAUUAAAGCUCCAUAAAGCCUUUUUCUAUUUUUAAGGAUUCAUUGUAAGCACUCUUUUACGCAUAUGAAAAAGAUCCUCACCCUAUAAAAGAGUAAUGUAACGCGAAUAUUUAAAGUAGCUGAUUUACCUUUUAGAGAGCUAAUUAAGAGAUUGGGAGUACAAAUCGUUGUGCGUGAAUUUCAAAAAUUUUUUUUAAAAAAUGAAUGAAGCAUUUAAUAUGCAUUUUUCCUCUCUAAAAAAAAGGGCAUUUGGUCCUCUCAAAAAAAGAAAAAAAAAAAGAAAAACAAGACCGAGUUUGAACUUCUCCCAAAAUUAAUAAUUAUCUGUUCACACGGAUAACAUUCAUAAAGACCUUUACAUAUAUAGGCACCUUUCAUGAAGUCCUAAAUAUUCUAUGUCCAUUCUAACCACAUGUUUCCAUUCUAAAUUUGACUAGCUAUUUUUAGUUUUCCUGUUAUAAAAAUUAUAAUAAUAAAUUAGCUUCUUCCAAAAAAAUUUAAAAAACCAUAAGCAGAUUUAUUUUAAUUUUUUUCUCAUUUAAUUUAUACAUCGCUUUUAGAAUAAAAUGCAAAAUUGCACAGAUUUACUAAUCUAAUAUUUAUAAACUUUUAGAUCUCACCAAAGACAAAUAAAAGUAAUUUUCACGGAAAAAAUAAGAAAAACUAAAAAACUUAUAUAAAAACAUUGACAUUAAAAGCUUUUUAUUUUAAAAUUAUCCUAAAAUCUAGGAAUCUGCAUUUCAAUUAUUAGUUUACUCACGAAGGUCCUAGUAUAAGCUCGAAAUAAGUCAUUCUCUGGGGACUGGGGAGUCAUGUAGCGAAAUAUAUAUAUAUAUAUAUAUAUAGAAAAAAAGAAAAUUCGCAUCCACACUCUAUUUUUCCGGGUGCGUCUAUAAAUACAUCAUAGCGCGGAUCCAGUUGGGUCGCGAGACGGCCUUUGCCUGCGGUAGGGGAAGCCGACGGAGGUUAUGCCCGAAGGCUAGGAGGUAUCGUCAUCCUCCGCUCCUUUUUUUUUUUGUUUUUUUUUGGUUAAUUCUUUGUAAUUAUCGUUGUUAUCUCCCUAUUUAGAUCUGUGGAUCGUAAUGAUUUUUCCGGAUCGGGGACUGGAUCCAUGGAAAAAUUAGGGUUCCGAUCUCGUGCGCUGAUCCGCGGAUCCCUAGGGUUUUGUCGUUGUCUUUCUUUUCCGGGAAAUAUGAGCUCUAGGGUUCCUGAUCGAUCCAAUGUGGAUGGAUCUGAUGUGAAUUAGGGUUUCGUUUGAUUUCUGUUUGAAUUUUGGUGUUGAAUCCGCUUUUAUUUUUGGGGGCUUUCUUGGGCUUUUUGUGAUCCCGAUCUGUGAUUUGUCGGUGAUCAAGUAGGACGAUCUCCCGAUUACUUAGUUAAUUAGUGGCAGGAUAUGGAUCUUUCGUGGUCGUAAUGCAGGAAAAAUCGUACGAUCGGAUUUUUUGUGGCGAUUCUUAUUUAAUCGCAUCCAGUGAUUGCUUUCGAUGAUAUUACACAUGGACUAGAGAAAGUAUCGUGACAUGUAUCUGUUUUUGAGCGUAAUAAGAUGAUGAUCUUCUGAUCGAUAUUUUGUGGAAAUAAUUUUUGAAAAGUGCAUUAUUGUUGCUUUAACAGAGACUAGCUGCAUUUUGUACGAUGGACCUGAAGAACUGUCUUGACCAUAAGAAAUGAGUCCAUGACAUGUUGACAUUGGGCUUUCAUCCUGUGGGCUGAUGUGCUGAUACCUUGGAUUUAGCUUUGGUCCAUGGUAUAUAUGCUCAUUUCAAUGUGGAUGGAUCUGGAUUCUGGACAAAAUAGGCUUUCUGUUGGUUCAGCUUUUGAAUCUUGAUAUUGAAUCUGCAGCAACUUUUUCUUUUGAAGAUAUUUGAAUCAAGGACUGUUUCCUGAUUAUUUGUUUAGCUGUCGUGCUAUCUCUUCCGACUUCGGCGAGCUGAAUUGGCCUGCCGAAGUCGGAACAAGGGGUUGUUUCCUUCGUUUAGAAGUGUGACAAUAUGGAUCUUUCUUGGUUUCAAUGGGAGAAUGGUCAUUUGAUGGGAUUUCUCGUGUGGAUGUUCGAGUAGUUUGAAAUGGAGUUCUUUGCAAAGAUGUCGCCAUGAUGGCUCUAGCUACAGCUGAUAUCGGUUUUUCUUGAUUAUGCUAAUAGCAUGAUUGGCUGAGGGCACUCUGUACGAAAAUGAUCUUAUAAUUGCAUUAUCUUGAAACACGGAAUCCUUGUUUACAGGAUAUUAUUUGCCAUGGUAUGGACGGAAUUGUAGAAACUAUUUUACCAUUGAUUGUUGACCAUUGCAAAAACAAAAAUAAAUAGUUAGUGAUAGCUGCUAACUGUAUACAUGACAUUGGAGAAAGCUAUUUUAUAUGACUCAAAUACAUUGUAGCAGCUCAGAUUCUGAUAUAGAAGCGAAAUAACUACAUUGGUUGACAAUCAUUACCUUCAGCUCUCUCGGGAAAGGUUUGAUUCUGAUGUUCAAAUGUAGUUAUUAUGGUUUCUCUUUUGUCACUGCUUGUUUGUGUGUCGUACACCCGUUGUCUCUCCGUAAUGAGACUGUCAAUGCUUGCUAACAGCUUUAUCUCUUUACUUUCUUUGUUAGGCUGCAAUCGUGUAGUGCAAAGCUUUUUCUUGAGAAAUGGAGAAAGCACUUCUUUCAUUGGUUUGCCUCCGCUGCCGAUUUCUAUUAUCCCAGAAAAAUCACGAUCGGCAUCUUUCAGCUUUUGGAGACUUCAGUCUUGUCCCUUUUGUCAACUAUACUUAGUUUGCAGUUGCUGUUUCAUGUCCACGAAGGACAGUCGAAUGCAGCUUUGCUUUGAAGUCGGUGUUGGAUCUAUGUCACACUUUUACAAGUAACACGUCUUGUUAUGUAUUAAAAUUUGUUAUGGAAUGUGUUAUCUGAUGUUGUGCUGAUAUUUUCAUAUCGUUUUUUUUUUUUUUUUUUUUUUUUUUUUUUUUUUUUUUUUUUUUUUUUUUUUUGCAGUGAAAUUCCAACACAGCUUCUCUUUGGGGUUAAAAUUCUAGUGCUAGACAUCAAAGAAUUAAUCUGUGGGGUAUGUUUGCUGUACUUUAUGAAAUGUAAAUUAUACAGCUGAGGAAAGCUUAUGUUCUUUCUGCACAAUUUUAACACUAUACUUGGACUGCUUUGCUUAACAGGGUUAAGUAUCUUCCGUCUGCAAGGCUCAUUUUCUCCUAGUUAGUUGGAGAGAACUGUUUUCUCUAAAUCCAUUCAGAUCGGUAUAUAUUCGAUGCGUUACUUUGGAAUCUUUGGACAAUGGAAUGUGCUCUAUAGCUCCUGAGAUUGAGAAUCGCUUGAAUUUCUAGCGGUUGUGCAGGCAGUAAAUAUCUUGUGUUUGAUCAGGCUGACUUAUCUCUAAUUGUACCUCUGUUAAUUUGGAAAAUAAUUUGAGCUUCAGUCCAGAUGGUAUUACAAGAUCUGGAUUUAUAUAGAGCCGUCAGAUUCCAGUGCUUCAGUUCGAUUGGUUGCAAAAUAUGCUUUUGCAGGCUCAGGAGAUAGACUCCUCAGGGGCAUAUUGCUGGUAGCAAUAUUGAUUCCUGAAGCUUGUCCAAAAUUUUCCUACAAUAAGCAGAAGUUCCUUUUGUUAAUCACAAAGAGAUUUUCAGAUUCUUCAAAUCUCUAUGUAGGAAGUAUUUUGCUUUAUAAGAAUAAGGUGUACAUCGGAGUUGCGGAAUAAGGAUGGACAGGUGAGAUGCUUUGAAUGAUUUUUGUCUUGUGUGAUUUAUGACAUUUUUCUCAAGUUGUUUCUUCUAAUCACAGAUACAAGGUAAUUAAGGAAGUUGGAGAUGGAACUUUUGGGAGUGUUUGGCGUGCUAUAAAUAAACAAACUGGCGAAGUGGUAUGUUAUUUGUGAUGGUUUUCAAUGAAUAUCAUGCUUGUUGGCAGUAACUAGAAAAUACAUUUUCACUAUGUUAUUCAAUCACAUUUGAAGGAAAUUCUUAAUAAUGGUAGGUUGCUAUUAAGAAAAUGAAGAGAAAGUAUUUUUCUUGGGAGGAAUGUGUUAAUCUUCGUGAAGUGAAGGUGAGUAGAUGGUUGAAAUGGUUGACAUUUUACUGUUACACUCGUCCAAGUCCUUUUUCUGAGUUUUAUUUUUUGUGUGAAGUCGCUACGACGGAUGAACCAUCCAAACAUUGUGAAACUCAAGGAGAUCAUAAGAGAGAACAAUAUAUUAUACAUUGUAUUUGAAUACAUGGUAUGGUUUCAUUAUGUAUUUGGAGUUAAAUAAUCAGUUCCUAGACUAUCUGACAGCCUAAACUUCGUUUCUUAAUUAUUCAGGAGUGCAAUCUUUACCAGCUUAUGAAAGAUAGAGGCAAGGUGUUUUCUGAGGUUGAAGUCCGUAAUUGGUGCUUUCAGAUAUUUCAGGGCCUUGCUUACAUGCACCAACGGGGCUAUUUUCACCGUGACCUUAAGCCUGGUAACUGCUUCCUUAGUGUUGUAAAUUUGUUGUUUGGGUAAUAGUUUGCACUUCAUGUUAUAUCUUAUUAUCUGUUUGGACUCGGAUAUUUGUCAAUAUCGUUUGAGGUUCCCAUAAUGGGUAAAUUCCAUGUGCUUUUUUUUUUUUUUAACUGACACCAUCCUACAGUUGGCUGGUCUUUAUGCUUUUGUUACUCUUUUUCAUGACUAGUUGCAUUCUUAUCUCCUUUGGAUGUUGUAAAUAAAAUCUGUACGACCUAUACCUCUGAUUUUGUGCUUUCAGUUUGUCACACUGCCCGAUUGUUGGUUAGUAGCGAUUUUCAAUAUUUAUGCACCAACAAAAUUUCAGUACUGGUUAUAGGAAACCCUUGGUUAUAUUUUUAAACUAUCUGAUAUUUAAGUAUUGCCCAUGACAAUACUGCUUAUGUUUACGAAAGUAUUUUUUGCAAAUUUUUCUUUAGAGAACUUGUUGGUUAGCAAGGAAGUCAUAAAGAUUGCAGACUUUGGACUUGCUCGGGAAGUUUCUUCAGAUCCGCCGUACACAGAAUAUGUCUCGACACGGUGGUGAGUACACACUUUUGUCAUCUUUUUAUUCAUUUCCAAAUUUAUUGAAUUUUCAUUUGCAUAGAGAUUUUAUUGGCUUUAAGCUUUGUUUGACUCAUUGGUCUUGUGAGGCUUUUAAGAAUAGGAAUCCCUAAAUUGAAAGCUGUCAUCUUUUUCCUUGUCUAGAACUGUUUCUGCCUAAUUAGCAACAAAGAAUGUAGACUACCAUAACCGACCCCCUGUUCGGAAAUUUGGCACAAAUUUAGUUGUUGAGAUUCUGUUGGCUAGUUGUAAAAGUUUUGGGAAAAGGCUUGAGAUGAUGAUAUGUUUGAAAUCUUUCAGGUAUCGAGCUCCUGAAGUCUUGCUUCAAUCUUCCAUUUAUGACUCUGCUGUUGGUAAGUGAUAAUUAAAUUUUGUGCUCAGUGGUAGGGUUAGACUAAUGUACCAAUCAUUAGCAUUUAUGGUUAUUAUGUUUUGUGCCAUGUUGCAGAUAUGUGGGCAAUGGGUGCAAUCAUGGCUGAGCUGUUCACUCUCCGUCCUCUUUUUCCUGGUUCAAAGUACACACAAGACCACACCAUUUUUUUUAUAGCUAAAUUAAAUGCCCCUUUUCUUUUGUUUUGUGUGCCAAUAAAGAAAAACUGACAAUGAAAAUUUCAGGCUUUGUAUGAUGUUGUUGCCAUCUUUUUUAUUUCAAAACAAAAUGUAGUUGCUUAUAAUCUAUACGCCUAUGGGUUGUUUGGCUACAACAAACAAAGACUUAGUUGUUACUAUUUUCACUUCUUUAUUUUUUGAAGAUGUUUUCAGCAUCCGACCAGGUUGUGUUGGAACCCUAACAAACUAUGACAAGAAUAGGGAAGUCCUUCUCAAGCCCAUUCAACUACAUAAGAUUUCUGCUUAAUAAAAAAAAAUGAAAAAAUUACCAAACUUUCAAAGUUUGUUCAUAUACUGGGCUAGCUAAUUGGUAGCGAAGCAUGAGGAGCUAAAGCAAAACAAGAUUAGUCCCAACAAUUCCAGUAAAACCCUUGCGGUAUACUUUUAGAAGUAUAGCACCUUAGUUUUCUAGUUAGACGAAGUUUUUUUUUCCUUUUUUAUUUUUCCAUCUUUUUAUUUUUUCCUUUUUUUUUAUUUUUCCAAAAUUGCAGUUGCUUAUGUGUUACUUGAUCUCAUAGUUUGUGUGAGUUUCUUGUACAUGCGCUAGCAACAUCAGCAUAGAUAAUCUGUGAAUUGAUAUUGUUACUUUCCUAGGAGUGGGAUUAGUGAUUUAUUGCUGAUUAUGCUACUUCUAAUCCUGUCAUGCUUUAUUGUAUUCCUGCAAUGAGGAUCUUAUUUGUUGAAUUGAUAUUUGUUCCUUCAGUGAAGUGGAUGAGAUUUACAAAAUCUGCACUGUCAUUGGAACUCCAGAUGUAAAUUCAUGGACUAAAGGAUUGCGACUUGCAGAUGCCAUGAAGUAUCAGUUCCCACAGGUAAUUAUCGCCCCCGGAUUUAGCAUAUUGGAAUUUAUAGUUUGUUGUAGGUAUUUUUAUUUUCAAUAGCUAAUUGAUAUAGAUAAGUACAUGUGAUUGGGUUGUUUUGUGUUAUCCUGGACUGCUUAUCAUGCAUAUAUCUUGUUCAUUGAGGAUUGACAUCUAGAGCCGGUAUGUUUUUGAGCAAUACAGAUUGUCUCAUGGCCAUUUAGCACAAACAAUUUUUUUAUGAGAAAAUAUAGAAGGAAAAUAUUUGACUCCUGCUUGACACAUACAAUGAAAGAGAAACAGCUUGAUAUGGAUGCCCAAAUACCGCAGGCCUUCACUUCGAAAAUUGUCUGUUUUCCAACUCAGCUGCCCAGCUUUGAGCCAUUGAAAUAUUUGAAAUUAUAUAGUACAUUUAAUAUUUAAGUGCUAAAAAGUUUCUAUGCAUCGUCAUUCUAUGGUGUAAGAAAUUAUUACCAAUGAUUUUUAGUUUAUGCUUUCUCCAUUUGAUGUGCAGUUAUUAGCUGACUCUAUUAUAUUCUAUGGUGUAAUUUCUUGUGUAUUUAUAAUUGGAAUUUUACAAAGUUGGUAUGGAUAUUCAUUUUAAUGCAGUCUGAUGGUACCGAUCUUUCAGCACUAAUCCCGUCUGCUAGUGUGAAUGCAAUUGACCUUAUUUCGGUAAGUGGUAUUAUUGUGAAUUCUGUUGAGGCCGUGCUAUUCUUUUCAUAUGGAAUAUGAACCACGUUUACCCACCAAUAUUGAUGCCUACAUACAUGUGGCAGUCACUUUGCUCCUGGGAUCCCUGCAAGAGACCAAAAGCAGCAGAAGUCCUCCAGCAUGCUUUCUUUCAGGUGGGAUCUCAUUACAAUGUUCAUCAUCCCUUUUUUCAUUUAAGAUAUUAACAAAUAUAUACAUCCAAUAUUAUCUGAUUACAGGUGUAACACUGCAAAAUCUAAGUAUUCAUAUAUGCCCUUAAAAAGCUGAUUUCUUACAUAUUUAUAUCCUUGUACAUAAAAAAAAAAUCCCCUACUUGAAAAACUAAAUCAAAUACAAAACAAACUUUUUCCCAUGAGUUGGAUGACCGUUCAUCUUAAGAAUGUAUUUUGUUAGAAAUGUAUCUUCUAGUGGUAAAUGAUAAAUUUCAGGUAGGAUGUCUUGGGUUCUUUUUCGGAAAAUUGACUUCAGUUGGUUCCAAAUCUUGCUCUCAGAGAAGAACCCAAGAAAGAAAAAACAAAUCUUAAAUAUUUCAGAUAGAUCUUUUUAUCCUAUUGUGGUUUGUCACUAUCCUUUUCUUUUUCUUUGUUUUUGUCUUUUUCCUUGAUUUGGCAGCCGUGUUUCUAUGUUCCACCCUCCCUUCGUCCAAAAGUACCCGGAGUUCUUAGGACACCCCCAUCUGGUUUGUUUUCUGUCCAUCUUCCUUCUGAUGUUUAUUAUUGAUGAAUGGACAUUGAACACGCACAUACCUUAUUAUGUUGUUGUUCAUUUUAUUUAGUGGGGCUAAAAGGAGCUUCGGAGCCAAAAAGUGGUCGAAGAUAUUCUACAGGAGCUCUGUCUGGAUUGAAACCUGCUAGUGAUUCUGUGACGCUGAAGUCAAAUGGUUCUUCGAGGAUAGGUAAUUGUUUUGGAACUAAGGUGUUUUAGUUUCAAAAUACUUAGUUUGCGAUAGGUUAUGCUAAUGUGGCUUAAUAUAUAUAUAUAUAUAUAUAUAUAUAUAUAUAUAUAUAUAUAUAUAUAUAUAUAUAUAUAUCUUCAUUAUAGGUGUGCAAAGGAAAUUGGAGAUGGAGCGUCAAGUAAGCUACACAAAUUCUUUUUUCUCCUCUUUUUUUUUUUUUCUAAUUUAUUUAUGUGGCUGAUUGUAUAAAACUUGUUUUUAACGUUUUAAGCUACAGGUUGCAGAGAAAAGUGACAAGACCAUGAAAAAGGACACGAAGCAGUCUCGUCAAAAACCAGCAGCAAAAAACAACGCAGGCAAGUUUGUUGUUCUUCACAAUUUUACCCCUCAAUUCUUCAUUUAUGACACUCUUUAGUCCCACCUCUGCUCUCAGCUUUUAGUUGUUUGUCAGCAUGACGAGUGAAUUAAGGUCUAACAUUUUGACGUUCAUUUGGCUUUUGAGAUAGCAGGAUAUUUGGGGAGAAGUUCGAGAAGAGUUGCUGAUGUUCCUGUGGGAGCAACCUCCGGCACCGUUUCGAAUAUGACGGAUAAGCUGUCACGGAUGUCGCUGAUCUCAGGCCCGCAGCAGAGUGUGAGGCAGGCACCACCACUGCCGUCAUUGAAGGCUGGGGGCUGUUACAGCCAGGCCGACUUACUAGCGGGGACCAAUGAGAUGAUCCCUUCUGGUAGAAGAUACACUAGAAAGGUCGCCGGCUGAAGAGGGUAAAAAAUGCCUUUUGCCUUAACUAGGUGAUGUGAUGUAUGGGGUGGGUUACUUUACCGGUGGGUCAUUUGAUGCUUGCUAGUGUGCUUUUUGCCAUUUGAGUGCUGGUUUGAGGUUGUUGAUUACGCCUGCUUUCUUUUCACUAACAGCUGAAUAAAACAUGUGUUCACCAUUCUUUUCGUUUUUUAUUUUUGUCUUGUGUAUUUAUUGAAACUAGAAUUGUGGUAAAAGCUGAAGAAUUGAUGAAUCCUGAUUACUUUCCCAUUGACUUUGACUUGGUGACAAUUACAGCGGCAUCCUCCCGUCUGGUCCCAUAUGCAACGUGUUAAGGCUAGCUCAUAUAUGACUGCAUCGUACGUUCACAAAUCAGCCAGCAUAGUGACGACAACUAGUUGAUGGUAUUGACGACAACAAGCCAAAAAAAGAAUACAUCACUUUUGCAAAUGCUAUUAUUCAUGCUCUAUCCAGCCCAAGCUGAGAGCAAACUCUUUAUGGGUUACUUCUGGCAACUAUGUAUUCAGCAAAAAUUAAAGCUAAAGAAAAUAGUUUUGAAGCAACGGGCUCAAGUUCAUUACGUAGAUGGAGAGAAUCCAAUAGCUGGUCCCUGAAGCUAAAAAUAACAAAACAAUACAAAACAAAAGAAAACGCUUAAUCAGCCAAUAUUAUUGUCGCAAAAAAUAUGAUGCCGUGCAAGUUUGAAAUGCCAUAUAUGGUGACAAGGAGUCCACGGAACUUCUAUGUGCCUUUAUCAGUGGGGAAUGAACUAUCAACUUCUUUAAAAUUAUACACUAGGAAUUUAAGAUUGUUGAAAAACAAAAAUAUCACACAACUGCUUACUUAAUUUUCCCCAAAUAUGAUCUUUGCCAUAUAUACCUCAACGAAAGUUGCAAAGGAUCGUGCUACCUUGCAAUUGUUUUAAGCUAAGCAUAUCUAACUAGUGGUAGGUUUCCUCAUUACGAUUCCCAACCAGAAAACUAGAUAAAAUGUUUUUAAUAACAAAUAACCAUCUAAAAUAUAUUUCUAGCACACCGGCACAAUAAUAUUUAAAGAAGAGAACAUGGACAAUGAACAGGAAAUGCCUCUAUUGCAAACGCCAAACAUGUGUGCAGCGAAUUUAAAAGAUAGAAAUAGCAAAAUGCCUCAUUAUUCUUGAAACAAGCAUGAAGGUACUUGCCUUAAAUUGCCCGGCUAAACUGGAGUUGCAGGGAUGUUAUAACGGGUUCUCAAGCUAUCAAUUGCUUUCUCCAUGGACUGUGAAAGCUCAGAAAUGGACGCCUUGCACACUAAUUGCUCAAAUUAGAAAUAAGGAAGUCAAAAUAAUGUGAAGAACACAUUACUAAAUAACAAAAGGCAGUCUUGUUCCUUUUUCGGUUGGAGUAUAGUAAUGAAUCAGUAGAAAUCAGGGUUAAGUUUCCUGUCUUUUAAAUCUCCUUAGAAGUUCAAAAAGAAAAAAAAUCCAAGUUCAUACAGAGAUCAUCACAAUCACUUAGUAGUUCUUGCUCUGAUCUUUAACUAAAACGAAAGGUACAGUUCAAAGGUUCCUUCUGAACUGCAGAUAUUAUAGUCCACUAAGCAGCCAAAUAAUCCAAUAGUCCAAAUAAACUCUAAAGUACUGUUACUUAGGAAAGCAUUUUUUUCAGGACUGUAAUACCAUCGUAACUCAAAAUGCUUCAUAAUUUCAUUAUCUGGUUACCGUGCUACUUGAUGAAAAAAAAAAAUUGCCAAGCACAAAUAAGGGAACGAAGUUUCUGAGUUCAUGUCCUAUACCACGAGAUGCAGUUGACUGUGCUUCUGCCAUAAACUCCACAUACGAGGCCUGAAAAGAAAGAAAACAUGAGAUUAAAAUGAAAACAAAAGGAAGAAUCACUGAGGGAAGCCCCUCACCUUUAUGAGUUCUGAAUUUUCCUUGAUCCUAUCGGACAACUUUUUGUACUCCUUGUCAACUUCCUCGGUAAGCUGCAAACAAGCCUGUGUUUGGAUCUGCAGCAGAAAAUAGAUCUUACAAAGCGAUCAUAGAAAGCAUGAAGAAGUAUGGUCCAAAAAUCCAAAAAAACUAGUAAUGAAAGUAUUAACAAGUUUGUUGUCAUUCAGGUAGAGUAUGUAUGUUCUUCUAUAAUCUUCCUAUCUCAGAUAAGCCAGAUAAAUGAGAACAAAUCUCCUACUAAAAUUGUACUGCAAGUGGGAACUUACUGAGAUCAUGCUGGAUCCGUUACAGUUUAAUAGAGAGAGAUAUAUCAUUCAUCUUCAUUUAUAUAGACCAAUCACAAUUCCUCAUGCAGCUAGGUGAUGAAUCAAUAGGCGUACCCGUAAUAUAAUGUCAGAGCACCCACAUAAUGGAGGAUAUUAAGUUAGAGGAGAUCAGAGACUUCAAAAGUGAGGUCAUAUGCAUCUAUCAUUAGACAGAGCACAAUGUAUCCAAUUCCUCGAGCUAAUCCCCCCUUAGAAGUUAAGCUGCAGAUAAUUUUAGACAAACUUGAUCUAAAUGCAUCAAACAUAGAUUAAACAAGAUUCCAUCACAAUCACUUCACAAAAGCACGUCCCGUAGCAAAAUUAACAAGAAAAGCACAAAUAUAACUGAGAAUUCGAGAUGGCUCACGAACAUAAUUUCUGAUCCGAGUCUUAUAUAGAUCCAUAACAUCACAAUCGCAGCCAAGCCAAAUCGCGUGAAUUAGAGAGCAGAGAGAAGCGAGAUCACCUUGCAUCGCUUGGAGAUUCUGUUGUGGGACGCGUCGAACUCCUUGGUGAUCGCUGAGUGGCACAGAUCGAGCUCCCGCUUCACGGAAUCCAAGCGGGAUGCAGCGAGGCUCCUGAGAUCGGCGAUGGAGGCGAGAGUUUUGGGCGGAGUGGAGGGGAGGGAGCCGGGAGUUAGGGUUUUGCUGGACGUCACCUUCUUGUUGGAGGAGGCCGAGGCGAGGAAGGUGAGGUCGAAGGAGGAGGGGGCGUAGGGUUUGGAGGAGCGGUUGGGGGUGGGGGUGGAAGGGGUGGGGAGAGGGGACAGGAAGGGUUUCGCCCUCGAUUUCGCCCUCGAUGCGGUUGAUGCCGCGGCUCUCUUCUUCAUGGCGAUUGAAGAGAAAGGAGAAGGAGAAGGAGAGGAAGAGGAAGAGGAAGUGUGAUCGGUGAAUGAUUCGAUUGCGCGCCUCGUUUUUUAUAGUGGCGGGAUCAUGGUGAGAUUAUCAGCAUUUGAAUUUCAAACUUGUAGAUGUCCUCGCUCGUUAGUCGUUAGGUUAAAUUUUUGUUUCAUCUGUCACGGCAUUUUUUAUGCGUAUAUGUUAGAGAGUCCGCAUAGAGAAAUUAAUUGCUCCUUAAAGUCCAAUCUCUUUCGUUCUUAUGUUGCUGUGCUGAAUAUAUUCUAUCUUUCUGUUUUUCCUCGUGAGAUGAUUUUAACAUUUCUUUUGUGAGAUUAUCAGAACAAAUAAACUCCUCUUCUUUUUCUUCCCUUUUUUUUUUUUUUUUUCCUUCUUCGUGCGGAGGGUUUUGUGAAUAUUCAGGCUAACAUACUCGAAAAGUUGCACCCUGCCGUGGCUUUUUUUCCUACUCGGGGCCCUAUCACGCUAACAACAUACGUAGAACUUAACCAGAACCCAAAACUGUUCCAUAAGGAUUCAUUCAUCAUUAAAUUAAUGCAUAAUAAUCCACACGUACAAAAAAAUAUUCAUGCCACUGUUGAUGGCAACUGAUUACUCAUAUAGAACCUCCAUCAAGCACCAAAGUUUGUUUACUAUAUGUAACAAAACUUCACGAAAGAAAGGCUGAAGGGUGACAAAGGAGAGAAAUCCGGAUCAAAGCACAUAUAAAACGACCGUUGAAAAGAGCAAAAAAUAUUAAUGAAAAGAUACAAAAUUGGUGAACCCAAUCGAUACACGUGCAAAGAAUACAUAACACGCACGCAAAACAUCUUGAAGAGCCAAAAUCUUUCCUUGUACAUGAAUGGUUACAAAAGGGAUUCACUAAAUAAGGGGAGAAAAAUGGUAUUUAAAUAAAUCCUACUGUAUAAGUUUGCCUGGAAAGAAUGAUCAGAUGCAUGACUCUUAAUAGCGAUUUCCAUUACUUUUGGAGUGAAUCAAAAUAAUAUCUCCUUGAGGAUUAGCAGGACCAGCAUGACAAAACACAUUAUGACUAGUACCGUAGCACACGUAACCAUCCCUCCUUUCUUCUGUGUCCUCUCCGCCUGUUUGAUAAACCGGAGAACAGGGAAAAGGACAUGGGCCUUAGAAAUAAAUAGAUAAACUUCAACAAAUGAUAAGAGACAUCUAAAGAAAACAAUUUAGAGUGGGAAACCUUCUGUAACUGCUUAUACCCCUCUUCGACCGUGGCAGCAACAUUCUGUAUAUUAUAAUCUAUCCGAUCGAUGAUAGUUCCCUGGUAAAGAAGUUCUUAAGAAUACCAUGCCAAUGCUUUAGGAACAAACAGCUUAUUUCACUCAAAUUAAAUGUAAUUGAUACCUGGUCUAUUACAAGGACAGAUAGAUCCUUCAUAAUCUGAGCAAGCUCAUUCACCGAUUCGACAAUCUAUAUGCACAACAUACGUGCUUAAGUUAGAAUAGCUCUAAAUGGCAGACACAUAAAUUGGCUGAUAGACUGGGGAUUGUAUAAUAUUUACCUGUGUGAUCUCUUUCUCUCUUUCUUUUGUAAACACCUCACUUUUUUUCAAUUGAGACAACUGAUGAUCAUCAAAACCCUGAAAAAUGGACAAAGGAGCUACAGAGAAUGAAAUAGCUGGACAAACACAAAUUAGAUUUACAGAUAGGUACUUCAUAUCAGUAAUGGGUAAACAUUGCUUGUGCCAAAAGAAGAGCAGAUGCAUGUAGUAAACAAAAUGUAGUAUGGCUUCCAACAUUGAAAAAUAUUGACCACAAGUUAAAGCUAAGAAUGUCUGGGCAACAAAUCUAAAUGUGCGCUAGCCGCAUUAAAAUCACCAACAUGGCUAUCUGUCCAUGUGAGAUUAUGUAUUUGAAUAGAAUUAUGCAUCGAAUGCAUGACAACAAUGAAACUAAACUCAGGCAUAAUGUGCAACCUCAGUCACAGUUGCCCUACGUAGAAUCUAUCUGUCAAUUUAAUGCCGACCCAAUCUACCGAAUCAUCAGUAGUAGAAUGUCAGACUUGGUGACAUUGAUGAUCGACAUCAAAUCUACUGAAUCAACUGUAGUAGACUGCCAGGGGAUAGAAAAAAAGAGCUCACCAAGUCUGGCGACUUGGUCAAAUUAAAGAGCUGCUUAUGUGGUUGGUGGUGUGGGGGUGUCUGGGUGGUUUGUGUCGGAGCUACCAAUUUGCUAAGCAAAAGGUAAAUAUGUGGGGUAGAACAGGAAACCUGCUUCCUUCUAGUUCUAUCCUCUACAUAGGUUGUUUCCAAGCAACUAACAUAGAUGAUGGAAUAAACCUAAGCUAAGCAACUCAAAUUGACCUUUUAAAACAAUAGUUAACAAGACCAUACCCCAUCAGCAAAGUCAUCGUCUUCAGAAGUAGAUCGAGCUCCAUUUAUCUUUAUCUCCAAGUCUACACCAUCCUGGCCCUGAAAGUAUGAUGACAGAUAGAGAACCAGAAGAAAGCAAGAUGAGAUCAUGAUUUUGACUAAUCGAAAUUCACAGUACCUCUUUUUGCUGCUGCAGCCGUUUUAAAUAAGUAGACUGCUUCUUACGGAACUCCAUUGACAGGUUUUGAAGAUCAGUUGCAAGUGAACGCUGCAGGAGAAAAUGUUCCUCUGUCAUGCUGAAGACUAACAAAAUACAAUUAUACCCAAAGAAACAAAAGAUUGCUUAAAGCAGAAGCGCUCUUUGCGUUUGCUUCUGCUUGCUGACUCAUCUCGAUGAAAAGAUAACUAUUUUAUUGCGUUUGAUGCUGCUUGAUUCUGCUUGCACAGGAUGACAAUGUACCUUCUAAUUUUUAAAUAGGAUUUUCGGUCUGCAGAAAUCGAGACACACUCUAGUUACAUGGCAAUGUAUAUUAAAUUUACUAUCACAUUACAUUAAUACCUGAACAUUUUUCCGAACAUUUGAAUCUUCACAUGACACAGUGGAAGAGAGCUUCAUUAAUCUUUUCUCAGACUUCUUUAGUAGAUCUGUUAUUUCCCGAGUAAGCAUCUCGAUUGCACGUUGCUCCUUUUUUCCAUCUCCAAAAGAAGGCAUUAAAGCCUUUUCAUGAACCUUUACUAACUCUACCAAUUUUUUUCGUGCAUUUUGUAUAUUUACAGAUAUUUCUUCCGAUACAUCUACCCAAGCUGGAGGUAGACCAAUGGUAAGCGGACCUUUACUGAAACAAAGAGACCACACAUUACACCGCAGGCAGGAACAAAACAAUCAAACAGUUUCACAGUCAAACUACUGCAAAUAUCAUGUUCUCCCUGCAUAUUUGUUCGCACUAUGGUACCCAAACUACUGCAAACAUCCCAAAUUGAGUAUGCGAAAGACAAAGCCAACGUUGAGGACCCAAAAUUGUCUAUACAACAAUCUAGCAGGCAGAAUAUAACACUAACUCCAAAAUGUCUCAGAAUUGCAAUUACGAGUAUUAACCAUAUCAAAACUAAAAUUAGACUCAGUACAUAUGAGACUGGCCAGCCACUUUUAUAUCUAAUUAUAGUAACCUGCCAAUUUUAUAUUCAAUCAUAGUAAUUAGUUGGCAAAGUAAAGCUCAAUUUUCUCAGCUUCUUAUUGAGGUAAGUAUUUGCUUUCUUGGACCGGAAAAAAAAAAAAGGAAAAAACCCAAAAUCCUCCAGUGGAUCUCUGUCUCAAGAAUUUCCAGUUUAACAACUAAUACGAGCAAAACAACAUCAUCGUGAACAGGAGAAACGUAGAGAGAGCCAUCCGCACCUCGAAUUACCAGGAUCUUCCGUGCUGAGAGGAGUAUACGACCGAUUCGGAUGGAGAAGCGAGGUGCUCACCAUCUCCACCGCCGCACCACCGCCCGAAGCCGACGUAGAAGGCCCCCGACGCGAAGAAGACGAUGCCGACGGCACCCGAACGCUCCGGAGGGCGUCCCGAUACUUCCGAUACAACGGAGUCCGGUUCCUCGUCGCCAUGGCACAAAGAUCUCCACUACGCUACACACCUCUCUCAGAUUCGCCAAUGUGGCUCGCGAUCUACACGACAUUGACCGAUCUAAGAGAUCGGGAGCGAGAAGAGGGAGUAAAAGAGAUGAAUCGAUCCAAAUGGAGGACGAAACCUCUGGGGAACGAGCUCCGGCGAUCCAUCGCCGGAUGAGGGAGGAGGAGGCGGCGGCGGAUCCGAAGAUUCCGGCCAGGUUACGGGGGGUGGGGGCGGAGAUCCGGAUCGGUAUCCGCCGCGGAGAGAGGAGAGGUUGGUGUAUGGAAUGGGGUUUCUCUAGAGUGCGAUGAGGAGGGAAAUACUCUCGUAGGUGUUCGACUCGGGAGAGAGGUGGGGCUCGGGAGGGUACGUCGGCGAUGGAAUGCGACGAUGAGAUCUUCUUGUUCGUUGUAACCAGUACUUAUGAGGUUGUUUUACUCGGUAUGGUUUGUUACUGUUGUGUCGCUACGUACCAAGUUUUAGUUACGUUUUCGCUUCCUGUUAUCGUAAUAUGCCUAACAUUUUAACUCCGUUACUAUAAAUUCGCAAUUUUGAGCCUACUUAAUUUAUAGUAUAGCUUAUGUGCCCUGCACUUGAUUUGCCUGAGAAAUAAGUAUUUUUUUUUUUUUUUUUGAGAGAUAAGUAAUACGCUAUACGCUUCGUUUAUUUUAUUUAAAAAUAAACUUAACCGUAAAUGUGAAACAAGUAAAUAUUACUAGUAGCCAGCGGUCGUUUGGCAUUGUUUACUAUUCCAUCUCAAGGAUGGUUUAUAUUCUAGUCUAAAAUGAUUGCUUGGUCUCCUUUCUAUAAACUCUGUUUAUUAAUCAAACGAUCUAAGUAAUAUUGAAAAAAAAAAAAAACUAAUUAAAUUUAGAUCAAGGAUGUCCAGAUGAUUCAUUUGGUCACAUUUUCUGCAAUACCGGAGUAUCACAAAUAUAUAAUCAUGAUAAAGGUUAUAGUUCUCACAAAAAGAGGAAAAUGCUUCUUUUAAGUAGCUGUAAAAAUAAAUCUGAAAAUAUUUUCCAAUUACUCAUGCCUCCAAUAAGCGAUAAUAGUUGUUUAAACUUUUAAACAUAUAAUGUGCCCAAAAAUGGUAAAUGUAAUGGACAACAGACAAAAGCUUCACAAGACUAUCUUUCUCAUCCGCCUCUGAAGUCUGAACUCUGUAAACACAAUGAACAGACAAUCUGAUCACAUUCUCAAAAUACAUCCAAGAUAGAAACCCCCCCCCCCCCCCCCCCCAAAAAAAAAAAUCUCUGAAGUCUCAUCUACACAAGAGACCCAAAAAAAAAAAGAAGAAAAAAGAAAAAAAAAAUGUUGUUACAAUGAGGGAAGAAAACUACGCAGCAACGUCCGCUGGAAGCCCCAUCUGCAUGAACCCAUUCCCUCUAUCCUCGCUGCCGCACUGAGCUGCGGCCUCCUCAGCGUGCAAUCUCCUCAGGUCGGGGUGCCCAUAACGUGCCGCUGCGAUCGCAUACGACCCGAGCACGAAAACAAAGACAAGGAACACAAGCGAGAAGAGCUGGAAAUUGGCGAGGAGCUCACCGCGCACUUGGCUCUCGUGCGAGUGGCACGCAAUGCUUCCGUCAUCGAGGUGGCAGCCGCGCGGCAUCAUGGGCCCGUAGAGGGUGAAGGCCGUCUGGUAGAACCAGAGGCCCUGAAGAGUGACAAGGAUGCCGCACGCGAGGUCGAGGGCGAAGAUGGUGGGGAAGAGGGCGCCAGCGACGGCGGUGACGAUGCAGAAGCCGAUGAGUAUGACGAGGAGGAGGUGAUAGUAGCCCUCAAGGCCUUUGUGCGUCGUCGAGUGAAAGUAAAAGAGCAGAAACUCUGCGCUGAAUGCGGCGGCGGCGAUCAAGCACAGCGUACCCUCCGGCAAAGGUAGGAACCUGAGGCACUAAAUUUCACCCAAGUCAUUUGCUGCAAUUAGUAUCAAACUUCAUGUUUUCUUUUGAUUAGUUUAUCUUUUUGAAUUUCAUUAAUUUUCCUAACGUGAAAGUUUCGAUUAAAUUAUCAUGUCAUCACAUGCCAAUGAGACUAACUGAUCCAGUUAUCAUUUCAUCGUCACAAUUGUAUUGCUCAAAUCAAGCGAUGUAAUGGAUGGAAAAUCUAGAUCGAGCCCGAAUUCCGGACAAUAGAGUAGCCGAGGUUCAACCCAUGAACUACGAUCAAACUUUCUAACUAGAAUACACACCCGGAACUAUGACCAAUCAGCUACAAGCCAUAAUACCUGAGAAAUGGUGGUCCAUGUACUGAACAACUAAAAAUUUCUACAAUAGCCAAGAUCACGAAGUCAAAAUCAAGUUAACUUAACAAGCUCCAAGAGCGAAAUCUCUUAAAGGGAAUUUCGUGAAAAGAAACCAGAUAACUCUAUGCUAACAGUAAUUAUGAAGAAUCUCUGGAUCAAACAGGCCUGGGACGUCUAAUUCUUUUUCUAGCAUAGCCAAAAUAGGCUCGGCAUAAGCUUACUUUGCUGAAGCUGCAAAUGGGCCCCAAAGAGGACCUAAUCUAAUCUAAUCUAAUCUAAUCUAAUACGAAAGAAGGGCCCCAGCAUGCACAGCAUCAAGCCACGUGGCAUUUUCUUAGAAACAAAGCAUCGAUUUCUCUUUUCUACGGCAUACUUGGCAGCCGCAGGUGAACUUUCCAUUCAAAAGUCGCAUGUCGAAGUUUCAAAGGUCUAAAAAGGCGACGUUCUAACCGACAAAUCAGCUCCCGAGCUGGUUUUCCAUGUGUUUCUCUUCUAAAAAUAAAAUUUUAAAAAUGGUAAAAAUGGAUACGACCCUCAAUUUACAUGUAAUUUUAAAAAUAGACCCCAACCUUUGUUUCUCUUUCUUCCUUCUAAAAAUAAAAUUAAUGACUCUAUCAGCUAUUGGCCAAAAUUUGUUACCAAAAUCUCCCAUUUUUUGCCAGAUAAUAAACUUUGAGGAUAAGAAAUAACUUACAUUAAAACAAACAAACUUUGAGGAUUUGUCCUUCAUUUAGGAUUAAAAAAACAAAAACAACUUUCAUUAGGGGAUAUCUACUGCAAAACGUCCUACAGUUGAGGGACCUUCAUGCAUUUUUCUUUUAUCCCAAAAAGAAAAAAGAAAAAAGAAGAGAUCACUGACCUGGUUUUCUCGGAUAGGAGAGCGACGGCCCCGAAGAGGAAGAACAUGAGGAGCAUCCCCCCGUGCUCGAAGUCGUUCAUAUGGGCCGGGUUGAGGACCCGCUCCGGCCCGACGAAGAUGUGGAGGUGGGUGGAGUAGAGCAGCUCCACGCACAUGUCGAGGAACGCUCCCCCGGCCACAACGUACAGUUCCAGGCACCGGGCCCGGCCCCCGAACCAGCCCACCGGGCGCCAGGCCCGAACCCGAAACGAACCCGGAUCCGUCACGUACCGGCCCACCGCCGCCCACACUUGCCACAGCCCCACCGCCAGGAACAGGCUCCCCGGGAGCACGUGACCCUUGAACGACCCCAUCGCGAGCACGUGACCAGUGCCCCUCCCUCCGCCCCUUCCCUAAUUGCCCUCUGAUUUUUUUCUAAUUACCGCUCCACCACCACACCGCCGUUGACUUUCCUACGCCCUCUCUCUCUCUCUCUCUCUCUCUCUCUCUCUCUCGCUCUCGUGCUGGUUCGUCUUCCUCCACACGUUUCCGCCGUACCUUUAAAUAUUUUAAUUCAUAAAUAAAAAGAAAAAUAAAUGGGAAAAAAAAUAAAGAACACUGUUCACUAUUUUCUUUUUUUUUUUUUAAAAAAAGAAGGAAUCCAAAUAGAUACUUCAGUUAAAACUUCAGAUCGGAGACGUUGAGUAUUUUGAUCUGUUUUAUGAUUCGAAAGAUUUUUUGAAAAAAAAAAAAGAGAAGGAAUUGAUAGGUAAAAGAAAGGAUCUAAGUAUAUAUGAACGAGAUCUAAGAAGCAGCAACUAUCUUUUUAAAUAAAAAAUGAAAAUGAAAAAGAAAUCCACUCUAGAAUUAAAUUAAUUUAAAUUGGUGGGAGAUGGACGUACCUUUUGCUUAUUAGCGAUGAUGAGGGCGAUGAUGAGGAGGGGGGAGAGAGACGAUGGGAUGGGAUGGGAUUACGAGACCCAAAUGAUUGUGAUAUGAUGACACAGAAAAAGGGGGAGUCCAGAGGCUUCUUCCUUUUCUGUUUUUUUUUUCUUUUUCUUUUUAAUUUUUCUCUCUCUCUCUCUCCUCUCUCUCUUUCUUUCUCUCUCUUCGGCUGUAACUGCGCGAGAGAUGGAAAGGGUGGAAGAUCUCGAGGCUUCUUCCUCUUCUCUCCCUUCUUCUUUUUCCGCUUCUUCCAAUCGCAGCUUCCGAGAAUGGGAAGUUCUUUUUUAUCUUUUUAUCUUUUUUUUUUUGAGUAAGUGUUAUAUGUAACUCAUUAAAUGGAUGGUGCGUAAAUAAAUAGAAGGAAAAAAGAGGAGAGAGAUGGAUCGAAGUGGGUGGUUGGGUGUUUGGGUGGUUUCUCUCUACUAUUAUUUGGGUAUUUAUUAUUUCUUUUUUAGAGUUCUAUGAUUUAUUAUUUACUAAUUGAUUUUAUUAUAAAAGAGGUAGAAGGUUUGAGCUGGGGACUCUUUAGUCCGACCAGCCCCUCGUCCCUUGAGCCUUGCCUACGCGAACGACGCGUUGAGCACGUACUAUAUAUUCUUCUCUUCCGCGAGUAUCUCAUUCAUUAUUUAUUCAUUAUUUUAUUUUACGGUUGAAAAAAUAAAAAAUAAAAAAUACUGCAGUAAUAAAGGACUUAACAUCGGUGUUCGAGGUUCCGAUUUGUAAGUUAUUCAAAGUUCAUUUUUCCAUGUAUAACAAAUAAACAAUAAUAUAUAUAUAUAUAUAUAUAUAUAUAUAUAUAUAUAUAUAAAUAUGCCCAGCUUCUAAUUCUGAUUAAUUAAUUUACUGAUGAUCCGACAAUCAAUUAGUUGGUAAAGUUAUUAUGUCUCUCAGUUUAUUGACGUAUUGCUAAACCAGCAAUAUGGGGACAUUUAGCAGGUAAUUAGUCUUAAUCAUGUCCCGACGAAUGGAUUCUCAUUCUCCUUGGGCCCUCCACAGUGAGGAAUUCUACGCUGUCACACUUGCACCACGUCAUCAAUAACAUGCCAAUCAUAUUUCUUCUUUUCAAACGAAAGUACAAUAAAAAUAUUUUUUUACAAUCAUGAUGGGACAUAUAUUCUUAAAAGGAUUAAUUUGAUUGGUUUGUUACGCCACGUCACUAAUAUACCCGUUGCAUUCUAGAAUUUUUCCUCCACAGUUUGGUUGAUAGCAAACCAUCCAGGCCACCUAGACCUGUUUUUUCUAAUCAGGAAAAGCCCGUAAAGGUGACCACUUAAAAUAAAUAAAUAAAUAUGCAUCAACUACAAGGGUUGCUAUGGCCACCCUCAAGCGUCCCUAAUUCAAAUUUAAAAAUGUAGGAACCGCAAUUCACAGUAUUUGGCUAGUGUUAAUAGAACAUUUAUUAUUUUUCUACUGCUGCGUAUAGAACUGAUUACGAAGAUACAUAUUAUCACGCCGACAGAAAUUGAACUUCCAUGUAUUCGGUAGUUGAGGCCGAACUUUCAUUUGUUGUGAAAUGUCGGUGCUAAGUGUCAGCCCCACAACAAUGUUAAGUAAGGCAUCAUAGAGAGAACGCACAGCCUUUUUACCGUCAUUAUCAUCCAAUCUAGGUACUGAUUACUACACAUACAGUGCCCUAUAGCAUGUCAAUCAAAUUUUAUCCCACGGCUUACAACUCACUCAAAAUGUUCUUUUUGUAUCACCAAAAGCCAAAACACUCUUUACUUUCUUCUUCUUCUUCUUCUUUUUUCUUUUGAUUUGGUUGGAAGCACUUUUAUCAAUUGGCCAUUUGUUUAGGAAAGGCAGAGUCAGUUCGAUUAAGCUCGUGCUUCGACCUUAUUUGAGCCAACCCAGGCUAAAAAAUGAUAUUAGCAUGUACAAAAUUUGGUACUCGACGCAUAUUCCUCGCUUAACUUUGGGUUAACUAAAUGUUUCGUCACCACCCGCAUGUUGAACGAGGACCAAGGAGCAAUUAGUAAUACUUAACAAUGUAACACAGUAACACUAUAAUGCUGAAAAGAGGAGCCGGUAGCAAAAAACGCAGACCAUCAUCGUAUGGACCUUGGUAAGCAAGGGCACAGUUAGUGAGAGGACAAACAUAUUAUUUAAUAAUCAUCUUCUAGAUGGGCUUUAUCUCUUUCUGUUUUCAAAUAAGACUAACGUUAUUGUCUGAAUGGAGCGUUGAAAUUGAGGGCAUUAAAAGUCAGAAGUUAGUGCCUAAAGAGUGUAGAAAGGGAACAUACUUCAGCAGCCCCACGCACAGAAUUUUCUACGUAUAUGGUGGGGCGAUCCCACCGUCCACUACAGGCAAGAUCAACCAGGGCCUGCAAGGAAUUCACGCCAAAUGUUUAAAAAAACUGACAAUGUUGGCUGUAGCGUUUCAAACAAACCGUACUACACAGCAGCAGUUCUCGUGCAGCCUUGCAGGUUGGUACAGGCCAGCAGCUGUGCCAAUAAGCAUAUGACACCCAUGCCGGACGAGCCACGCACACACCAUGCCGCUAACGCGAUAAUUCUUGCUUUACAUUUACUCUCUUUGACAAGAUGCCAAAUCCACUACCCUUUUAAAGAAUAAUAUGGAAGGGACGUCCAGAAUUUCUAAAUUACAUCUCUAUUGUAUAAAAUGGGGCAAACUAUCCUCCCACAGAACAAUAACAAUUCCAAUACAUGGCCAACACGCAGCUGGGAAUAGAAGGUGAGAGAGGGAAUAUCAGGAGAGACUAACUGGAUACAGCAUAUAAUGUAACUCACUCUAACGGCUAAAACAAAUUAUUUCUAACUAAAUUACCCUCCCCCUGCUUCCCUCUACCUUCCUUGAGUGUACAAAUUGAAAAGCUCUGAAUGCAAAUCCGCACGAUAAAAUAUCCUUAAGCCUCUCGAGCACGUAUCAGCAAUAUAUCUGCAUGAACACACUAAGUGCGUGCGCCCAUUCAUGGUCGAUGUUAGGGGAGAAAGGAUUCUAAAUAAAAUAGAACUAAUUUUUCGUCUCUUCAUUUAACUCAGAGGUCAUUCACUCAGUCGAAGGGUUAUCCUCGAGCACCGGAACUACAGCAGAAGACAGCUCAAUGUGUGAUACACGAACAGCACCGAUAAGCCUCUCCGGAAGUUCAUCGUAGGUGUUUGCCUGCGAACAUGAUAGUGUUCUUAAUGUAAACUCUUAAAGUGGGAGCUAUCCAUUGAAAAUUGAUCAUCAGAAAAAGAGACCCUUUUCUGCCCAAAAAGAAAUAAUCUUUAAACAAGAGUUUCUUAAACUAAACCUAAGUGAAAAUGACAAACGAACAGAGCAUAAUACUGGGAGCGGCAUAUUAUUAUAAAGGAAUUGUUCGCAUUAAACAGGCAAAUCAAAAUUUGAUCUCACUAAGGUGAGAAUCGUCCGAAAGGGCCAUCUAAUGGCAGCUAACAGUAGAUAUUUGGUUUCAAAUAUCUAUCAGGCGAUGUAUAAUAUAAUGAGAUUAUUGAUAACUCAACAUAACUAGAUGAAAAUUAUUCACCCCCCACAUAAAUUGUGUGAGCAAAGGCAACUAGCAAACUCAUAAAUGAGAUUUUUCUCCUUAUGCUAGACUACUAAACAAGAUGCAAGCAAAGAAUCUUGAGCUAGAUUUCAAAGUAGAUUCAGAUUCAACAAUAAAUCUAAAUUCAGGAAACUUUCUUUGUCGAACUGAUCAAUCAGUAAGCUUUCACAUAGGAAAUGUUCAGCAGUAGUCAAUGGAAGAGAGCAAUCUCAAAAGUUUUCAUGUGCUCCCUCUAUUCGAGUGUUGGUGCAACCUACAAUUCUAAUUUACCUAAAAAAGUUGUGAAGAUAGGGACCAUUUCUUCACCAACUUCUCUUCACUAACAUGAAUUGAGAGGAUUCCCGAACAAUAUGACUGCUGGCAAGGAAAAUAAUUGCAAGCAGCACAAGAAUAGAAUCAUAGGCCCAAGAGUAAAACCGAGUACCUGUACAAGAAAUGCCAUGUCAACUACUAGUGUCGUAAUCACACCAAACACGAGCCCCAAUACUCCAUUAGCCACAGUAGAAGAGCCAAUGUCGAUGUCUAUCUGCAUUAGUCAAAAGGCCAUAUAACACGAUAACGGCUACGAUGAGUCAAAUUUAUUUUUUCAAUGUCUAGACAAAAGUAUACACUUGUUGAACCUAAUACAGAUGUCAGAGAUUGUUCUUACUUCCAAGUAAUUAGGUCCACGAAUGUAUGUACAAUCAACUGCUUUCCCUAAUAAACAAGGGGUGCUUCCAACACUCUGGCGAACAAUCCAGGAUCCCUGCAUAGGUCUGCCAGUGUUAGGAAACAAAUAAAAUAUAUAGUGAGCCUACUCAUGUGAAAACCAUGUUACAGGUCCAUCGAAGCCUCUCCUAACAAAUAAAAUAAAAUAAAAUAAAAAUAAUAAAAAGAAAAGGCAUCAGAGAAAAGCUUUAAAUUGCGUGCUUGGUUUUAUGGUUAAACUCAGCCUGCCAAGUGAUAAAAAAAGCAGUUUAGAGAUUACAGGAGGAGGUGAGUACCUUUGGGACAGAUGGGAUAAGCUUGAACCUACUAUUGCGGAAUUCAUCAUCCCCAUCCACAAAGCGCUGCAAUAAUGAUCCAGGUACCAGUUCUUUUGUAACAAAAUAAAAGACCAUGCUAUAAUUAGUUGAGCCUGGAACCUGCAAAAUCAACUUGUUACUAUUCUCUCAUUAGGACUCAAAAUAACAAAUUAUGCACAUAUCAUUGAAAAGUAAGCAACCUGUAUCACGUAAACAUGGAAAAAAAAAAAACAAUGUCAGCAACAAGCACGAGAAAAUAUGAUAAGGAAAAAUAAAACUGAAUUAGGUAAAGUAUGUCCAUCUAUUCCACUUCAGAGACGAUUGGAUUUGGGAAAGGCCAUAUCUCAUGGGAAGAUUACACUAGUAUAUUAGGUGCUGGCUACUAUGCCAAAAGCGAGGAGAUGAUACUAUUGUACUCUGAUUUUACAAGACAUAACAGAGAAUUAUGCCAACUACUUCAUAAAUUAAUUAUAAUGUCGUUGAUGGUCACAACAACAAUGAACCCAAGAAAUAUAGAAUGUGAUUACAAUAACAACUAACCCAAUGCAAAUAAAAUUAACAUAAAAAAUCAUUUUAAUCAGGGUUUCAAAGGUGAGUCAGAGCAGAACAACCCAACUGCCCUGACUAGCACGACCUCACUAGCCCACCCUGAAAAAAAAAAAAAAAAAAAAAAAAAAAAAAAGGCUCGGACCCUUUUCAAGUCCAGGACCCAGCCAACCUGAAACAGAAAAGCUGGCCAGCACUGAUGUUCUCUGAAGGAUCAAAGCAAAAGGAAAAGAAAAGGCAAUAAGGACAAUUAUUUCAGCCCCAGCCUGUUUCAGCUUCAAAAUUUAGAACUCACGCUAAGAUCAGCCCCAAGCCCAUACUGCGAGACCCAACCCAUUGACAACUAUAGACUCCAACCAUUUCUAUCAGUUGCAAACUUGCAUUUAUAAACUUCUGCUGGUGAAGAGCAUUCUCUCAAAUAUAUAUUUACCGAGUACCUAAUUGGUUGGGUUCCAUCAUUCCCAACAUUUUCAACAGCAUUGUUCUUCUCCCAAGUUUUGGAAAUAUCACAUAGCACGGAAGAUAGCAUUCCUUAGAAUGUGCUACAAUACUAAUGAACAAGAUGCAAGAUAAAAAAUCAGAUAUGCGCUACAAUAUAUCCUGCCUAACAAAACUUCAAAAAAAAAGUAUGUUAAAUCAAGCAUUCAAAAAGACCUCAAUGGUUGAGAUGCAAAUGUUUAAAGCAAAAAAAACAUAAUAACUAACAAAUGAAGUCGCAUCCACUUUUCAUAGGUUCUUUUAAUUUCAUAUGUUUUCAGCUUGGCUUUUUCUGUGAACUCUUGUGAAAACUCGGUUAAAGGCAUGAAGGAAAAGAUCACCAUCCAUUAGUGGCACCAUUGUAAGAGACAUGACUAGUAAGCACCAAACACAAGAUGGCAUAUAGAAUUGUUCAAUCGCUUGCUUAUUACAAGCCAUACUAUGCUAAUUCACAUCAAAGAGAAUUGUCACAGGAUGUUCAAGUAGAACUUACUUGCACAUUUAUAGCCAACGAAAAUAGUCCCCUCUCAGAGGCAACCUACAUUACCAGACCAAAAUCAUUAAGUUCUUCAAACCAACGUAAAUUCAGUAAUUUCAGCUGUAUCAUGGAACAAAUGUUAAAGCAACGUAAUAAUCAAACUAGCUUGAGAAAAUAAAUACAGGUAGAAAAAUGAUUAAAAAAACUCAAAAUCAUUGUCCAAAAGAAGAGAUAAAAUAAGGCAUUGAACAUAAAAACAAUAAUGAAGUCAUAGAUAUGACAUACUUGGACAGCGCAACCUUUUCUCCUUGCUACAUGAUCCAUUCGCUUCACAUCCUUAAGCCAAUCAACAGCUACAAGCUCCAUAAGAUGCUUUCCUGCAGGAAUCUGCAGUAAACACUGAUGAGCAGAAGAGACCAAAAACUACUAUUUGUUUCCCUCAAAGCUUCAGAAUACAAUAAGCUAGGUUUAUCAAAGGGAAGUUAGGGGACCUUGGUUUUGUCAUAUGUAAAAUUUUUACUUCUGACUCUGAAGUUAUUUGCAUCAGAUAUUGUCCAGCAAUUACGACUUUUCUCACGUUCAUCGCGGCGUAGGUUGCCAGAAAAACCAGAUAAAUCAAGUUGAUCUGAAGGCUCCUCAUCCAAACCUUAAAUUAAUUUAGAUUGAGAAAAUCAGUUAUCAGUUCAGUUUAGCUGACAAUUAUUUCAUAACAGAAAAAGAAAAAACAAUAUCAUACUUGUCGGUUUAACAUCGGUCACACGUUUAACUGGGUACGCCUGCACAUGCUGCAAUGUUAAAAUUCAUAAAAGCAAGGAUGAACCAUGUAAGCAAAACUAGAAGAUAUCUACAGACCUCUUGAUACGAUAAUUGAUAAUCUUCAUCCUCAUCAGAAUCUUCUUCUAUCAAUGUGGAGUGUCUACUAGCAGCAUGCACUUGAUCUAGUGAAGGACCCGGCUGAGCAGAAUAUUCUUGUCCUUUUCUUUCCUUCUUUGAAGAAAUCGAACUUGUAGUCAUAUUGACCAUCACUGGGAUCCUUGGUAGUAUGUGGGUUUCAUCCCUUUGAGAAAACCAUUCACGCAGCCCUGUCAAUGAUAAGUACAAAAGGUAAGAAAAAUCUUGAAAAUCACCCAACCAUAAAAAGCAAAUAUUUUGCCCAAUGAAAGGGACUUUCCAGAUGAUUUUGAUCAAAGAAUUAAUUAUAUAGACAAAUUUGUGAUCUCAUGAACUAUAAAAUAAACUGCGAAGUCCAUAAUAGGUCUUAGUCUUUUAUAGAGCUAUGCAAGCAACACUCAAUUCAUGUAUCAACUCUGGCCCUUACAAUUGAUAAUUCUCUCUGUUCAUUUGUCUUCACUAGAUCCGGUCUCUUCCCAAACUUUCUUUUUCCAUGUGAUUAGAAUUAAAAAGCCUCUCAAUUUCUAUGUUAGAAAUCCUAAAAUCUCCGCAAUCUCUAUCACAGACAUCCCUUCUCAUUGUUCAUGAAUAGAACAAGACAAAACCCAAUAAAGUACAGGAAUGAAAACGGUGAAGAUGGCGGAGAAAAGGUAUAAUCAGAGCCUCCAGUUAUGGACUGAAACCAUAUACAGGGAGCAGCACGGGAGAGAGCAAACUUAUCCUGUUGUAAUCCUAACCCACCUUGAAACAAAACUUACCUCUCCAAAGGAGAGUGAGCUCAUUUUGACAGACUAGGUUUGACUUUUCCACAAUAAAUAUACUUCACCGUCCCAAUAUGUGAUACACCAAAUGAACUGUAAAUAUACUAAUAGAUUUGCAAAACACUGGACAUGAUUAAAAUCUUUUGCAUCAUCAAAGUGCUGACACCCUAAUUAUCUAGAAAUUUGUCCGAGGUAGAACUAGGUAGACUAAAUUACUAGCUAAUAAAACAAAGCAAUUCAAAGAUAUGAAAAAUAUAAAAUAAAAUUAAACAUCAACCACAAUUAUAUCAGAAUGAUGGGCGAAUUUUCUAAAUUCAUUUAAUUUUCAAAUGAUACAUUAUUAUAAAAAUAUAUCAACCUGCAUCUGAGAUAUUAAAUGUAUAGUACACAACUUAUGUAAACCUAUUGCUUUACUAACAAAUUAAGAGGCUAUUCUCAGAAACAUAUUAAGCAGAUAGCCUAAACAAAACAAAACCACACUGGUAAAACAGAUAUUGUUUACAUUAGUGCAGUAAACAGAUAUUGUUUACAUUAUUGCAGUAACUGCUUGAAAAACAAUAAUUUCAAUCAAUACAUGAUUGAGAAGAGCAGUACCAGCAACACUAUUCAGCAUAUGAAGCAAACAAUGUUGCUGGAAAGAUGGUAAAUAUCCGACGCCCCAUCCCUUUAGAUCAAUUUGCAUAAGAUGUUGAACUUGUGUUCGAGGUCUCCCAUGUCGAGAUUUUAGGGGAGAAAUGUUAAAUCCUCCACCUGCAAAACAAGAUCUGUUACCCGAGUGAAGAAUGAUGAUCACACUUUCAAUUAUCUUUUCAAAAACAGGAACCAUAAAUGCUCCAUGAUAAAGCCUCAGAGUAAUUAUUGAAAAGUACUCUCAAUAUGGGCUCUCACAAAUCCUGGCUGGGGGCCACAGUUUGGAUGCUCCCUCGACUGAAAUAGUACAACUGCCAAUGAUAACAUGAUACCACAGUUAUUAGAUAAGGGUGGAGACAAAAAUAAAGAAAAACUGAAAUACAUACCAUAGCUUCCAUCAUCAUUACGUCGCCAAUAACGCACAUAGCAAAGAUCGCGAGGCCACACAAACCUGCAAAAUCAUAGGAACUUCUACAUUAAUAAAACUAUUUCAACAAGAUAGGCUUUCGCCGUUCUUUAUUAGUUUUAGCAGUAGUUAGCAUCUCCCAUUUUGGGCAUUUCGAGCUGCUCUGACUUGACAAUUGCUAAUAGAGCCAUUCCAAAGUAGGAGAGCAGAUGAAUCUUGCAGGACUCAGCGAGAGCAGACGAGUAACUAAAGUAAUAAAAGAAUGUAAGUCUUUCUAAAGAAUGUUAGUACUAUGUAACCAACGGCUAAAACUAAUGGAAUGUUCUAAGGAAUCAUGAUGACUAUUUUUCCCAGAAGAAAAGAGAAAUAUCUAGCUACAAUUCUUUGAAUCUGAUCCAUUGUUCUAGCCGGAAAGGGCAUUACAUUGUACACCAAUCCAGCUGUAGUCUAUGAUAUAGUAUAGCAGUGUGCCCAUCAACCUCCUCGACUAAACUACCAUACUGGAAGCUGCAAUCCCACCUACAAUGACAAAGAGAUACAAUUAAAAGAAUCUGUUUUGUCAAGGAAGACAAAUGGAUUUCAACCACUUGCAACCUACUCAAAACGUGUUCCAUCCAUGCUCAUCACGAGUUCAAAAAUUGCUUCACAUGAAGCCUCUACCACACCAACAGCCUUCAUUGCUCUACUACAGCUCCUUGGCUAUAGACAACACAAGUUUAACAAAGGGUAAUUAUAUAAAUCAUGCAAAGUUUAAGAUAUAACCAUUUGCAAACAAGAUGGUAUAGGAUUUCACAACUUACAAGGUAAUCUACUUCUAGGAGCUCUUCAAAAAUGCGUAGUCCUGUAAUUUAAGUGCAUAGAGGAUCAUCAAUCGAACCAAAGUAUGAAUUUAAGCUCUAGUUAUUUGAUGCUAAUGGUACAUUCAGAAUUCAAUAACCCAUAGAUUUGAUGAAAGAAAACAGAUUUGCCAGCAACAGGUAGAGGAGAUUCUUGCCAUUCUGGCACCUGACUAGACGCCAAUGUUUUCUAGAGAAAACUUGAUCAGCGCUGGCCUGAUUUGACAAUGCAGAAUCAGUCUCGCGGGUCCAGUCAUACAAUGACUCAGGAGGACCUGCAAGUGAAAAAGAUAAUCAUCUUAGCAAGAUAUGCCACUGAACAAUGUGAACUCCAAUAGUAAUGCUACUGUGAAUUCGUUCAGACCAUUUCCUAUUGUUGUUCUCCGUAGUAAUGCAGGUUGGCUAUCCGCUUCUUCCUCAGGACUACACCUGCCGAAGAAGAUGUGUAGAUAUAUAAUGUAAGAAGAAUAAAAACACAGCAAAUAAGAAGAAACUUUCCACACAUAUUUCCUAAAAAGUCUCUGACAAUGCAAAGUUCCAGGCUUAAUACAUUGGAAGAGAAAAGCUUAUUUUGGAAGUCACUACAUAAUAUAAAUUGGUUUCGGAAGCAUGGUACCAUACACUUCCUUCUUUAAUACUAUCACAUGGUGAUUAAGUGAAAACUUUUCAGCCAAACUUCCAUAUUACCUAAUUUUCUGUUUGUUCGUGCACUUUUUGGUCUUUUUCCUUUGGCUUCGUUUGAGACUUGUUUAGAUGAUACUUUGCAACAGCACAUGCUUUCAUGUUUUCAAAUAUGGUGGAUUACUACCAUGCAAAUAACUGCACCAUUGUCUUCAAUAACUACAUAUCAAAAGCCUUUACUGUUAAGUUAUACAUGGAAUCUUCUAUCAACUUAAACAAAUUGAUUUGAGUGGUGGAAAAAGAAAAAAAUAAUGAUCAUCUCCUUAUCCCAUUUGCUGGGGAAGUGAAUUGUGGCUGUCAUAACAUUAUGUGCCACCAAUCUGUUGCAAAAGCCUCUUCAUAGUUUUAUUGUUUACAUCAUACUAGAGAUAGAUUCUUUGCCAUACUGAUAUAUGAUUACAAGAAAUGAUAUAUAUCAGGCUUUAAGAGGCAAUCAAAGCCUCAUUCAUCAUAAAUUGUCAAGAGGAUGUAUUAGUUAAAUCACGGUUGGUUUUCAGAAUCAUCAUAUUUCUGGGCAAGUAAGCAACAAACUCUUUAAGACAAAAGAAUACAAAUUGAAAUAGGCCAUCAUUACUUCCAUGUGCACCAACAAGUAGAUAGUAUGGACCAAAAGCAUGAACAAGUGCAAAAUUAGCAUUCAUUCUUAACAUUAAACAAUCACCGCCUCUGAAAAUCUGCACUUACUGGCUCUCACGAUCAGAUGAGGAAUUCCUUCCAUUUUCUAUGGCAGAUUUGUACUGAAACGCUGUAUAGACCUUAUUUCCAUUAGCUGGCAUAAGAUCUUGGUGCUGCAAUAAGCAUGAAAGUACCAGUAAAUCAAUAGAUAUUCUUCGUUGUCAAACUGAAACCAUCCAGUUUAGUUGGAAAAUAGCUGAUUAUAGUUCACAAAUUAGCUUAAAAAGAUGACACUAGACAGAGUGGUGUGCCAGUAUGAGAGACUAGAUAUAUUAACUCAACUUUCAUUCAAACAUGGUAAUAUAAAAUAUAGUUUGCAUAUGCUUAACCUGAUCGAUGACAAGCUCAAUCUUUUCCUUCCAUAUCAACGCCUCUUGGAUGUUGAAUGCUGCCAUCUGACCGAGAAAAAAACUAAGUUUAUAAACUUCUGAUCAUCAAAAGACCAUGAAUAUGAGCGUAACGUAUGCUUUCUAGAUAAAGUGAUGCUUCGGUAUUCAUCCUCUAUCCAUGAGGCUGAACCAGGUUAUGUAAACUCAACAGUUAAAAAGCAUGUCCAAUAGCAUACAAGCAAGAGAGUAUCCACUAGGAAUCUGCAAUUUACAAUAAUAGAAUCUAAAGCAAGAAAAUAUUUCCGCCUUCCAAUCACUACAACAUAAAGUAACAAAAUAAAGCGAAAGUUGUUAAAGAUGUAAGUAGCAUGUAAUCAUAAUUUGGGUGCUAUUUUCUCAAUUAGUAUAAAAUAAAGGGAAAAAUAGAAAAUAAGAAAAUAAAGGCUGUAGUACGCACCGUAAUUCGAUGAUGCUUCUCUUUUUUGUUGUAAACACAUAAGACAUAAACCAUCUGUGGAAAGAACAUAACUGCGUAAGAAAGUGCAUUUGUCAACUCUGAGUUGUCACAAGAGUAGCAAUUGUGACUGAAAGAAAAGAGUAACGGCAGGUUCUUAAGAUCACAAGAAGAUUAUCCUCAUGUGGUAUUUAGAAUUUAUUUUAUAAGCCCAAAUCCAUUAAACUUUCACAUUCCCCUACACCCUGGAUCACUAUUCACAUCUGCACCAUGUAUAGAAAUUUCAGGUCCUUCAGAAGAAAAUAAAAGAUCAUUCAAGCCUCCCAAUAAUAGAAAAUAUCAGACUUUCAGCCUUGAAAAUUGUUAGCGUAAUAUCUCUAUGAACUGCAGAAACUAUAGUUUUUUAAAAAGGUAGAGCACUUCAUAGUGCUGCCGAUAAUGGCUCUAUCUUGCAAUAUAACUUUUAACUGUAACAAAUCAUCAGCAUAAACCUAAAAACUUACAUUAAAUACGUCAUUUUCAGCUCAUGAACUAGAAAAUAUGGGAAUAUCUUGUAGAUAACUGGCACAAAGUAGUUGGUAUAUUUUUUAUGAUUAUGCUAAUAUUGUAAUAACAAUAGGGUAAUAAGCUCAUCUGAUGAUUAUUAACCUAUCCAAGCCAGUGGCGGACAAACUUAAUUUAAGCACUUCCAAGAAAAUAUGCCAGAAAACUGUAAAGACAAAUGAAAUUUUUAGUAUUAAUAAAAGAGUAAAAUUUCCGUCUCACAAAUAGGUUCAACAUAUUUUACAUACUAAGUGGGCCUACAAAGUGUCGUCAAGAGAGGAUGAAUAUGACCUAUUCAACAAUAAAACUAUUGCCAAUUUUUAUGUAAAAAGAAAAAUUACAAGAAAUAGAUGAGGGGGGAAAAAAAGAAAACUUACAUGUCCGUGAUGCAUCUUCAGGCCUCUAUCCUCAACCCUGCAAUUUCCAUCAAUAAGAAGGGUCUUGAUCGGCACCUACAUCCCCAGAAAACAAAAUAGAUGAUCCAAAGCAAUUAAUCAAAUCUCUCCAAGAUUCAGAGCUUCUAAAUCUUAAAUCAGAAAAGGGGACAAUGCGAGCUCCAACUACCAUGUUAUCCUGGGGUUUCCUCUUGUAAUAAGCGAGAACCCUAGUCUCGAGAACAAAAUAUCGCAUGUGGAUGAAGGAUCGCCCAAUCUUCCUCCGCCCGUACCGAACCAUCCAUCCUUCGUACACCACUUUCGACAUCUCUCUUAGUCAGCGGCUCCUACUCCCAAAGCCCUUCCAAACACCGCUUCUCCACUACCUCACGCUCCAAACUACUACUAUCGUUAAAACCGACCAAAACCCUAGCCAAUCGACGAUAUCCCCAAAAUUUCAACCAAUAAAACUUCGAAUUGUUCGAUCCGAACGAGGGAGCGCGUGGGGAUCGAAGAAUCGCAAGGUUCCUACUCCCAAAACCCUUCAAGAAAACCCCGUUCCACAAAAACCUCGUGCCCCAAACCCCGUUGAAACCGAUCAAUAUCCUAGUUGAUCGACGAAAUUCCCCAAAAUUCCGGGCGAGAAAACUUCGAACCGUGCGAUUCGAAAAAAAGGAACGCCGAGAGAUCCAAGAAUCGCGAGAAUUGAAAUCGAAAUCCGCGAUGAAGAAGCGCGGAAUCGAAGGAACGAUCGAUCGCCUCCUCCCGAUCCGAUCAGAUCCGCCGCGCGGGAGGAGACAUCGGAGCGAUCGCCGAUCAAAGAAGGUGGCGGAGAUGAAGACAGUGGAGAAACUGACAAAAAAACGUCACUUGGAUUUCGAUAUUUUAAAUGGGAACGGAUGAGAGAGAGUGUGAGAGAGAAAGGCACGAAGGGAACGCUCUCGUUCUCUCGCACUCUCGCUCCGUCUCACUGACACCUUCUCAGUCCUUUUUUCUCUUUUACUUUUUUACUUUUUUUUUUGGGGGGGGGGUUUUGUGUGAAGAAAAUAAUUUGGAAAUGUGGAGUGGUUUUAUCGCCCGAGAUUUGAGGGCUUGAAAAGAGUUGACGGCGUAAUGGCGGGAAGGACACUAAUAAAGCCAUAUUCGGGGCUUUUUUUUUUUCUUAAAUAGUUUUUAAAAUGUGUAUAAAAUUAAAAAUUUUAUAAAAAUAAAAUAAAAAUUUUAAAUCAUCAGCAUAAACCUAAAAAUAUUUUUAUUUUCUUUUUAUAACAUCAGCGCCACAUCGUGGACAAUCCAUAGAACGGAAAACAGUAAUAAGUGAUGAAUGCUCCAUAUUUUUUUAUUCCGAAAUUAAUAAAUAAUAAUUCACUGUUUUACUAGUAUUCUUAUUUUUUUAUAUAAUUAUGAAUUAUUUAUCAUAUUUUGUAUCUCAAAAUUAUGAUUGGAACUGUAUUUAGUAUAGUAGAUGGAGAAUGCGAUGACAAAUAUUCGGAGUUUAAAUUAGGGAAAACUUUAAAAACUCCCCCUAUGAUUUCUUAGUUUCUCACUUUGCUCCAUGUGGUUUAAAAUGUAUCAAUUUGCCCCAUGUGGUCUCUUUUUUCUUUUUUUCUUAUCAAUUUUAUUAUUAUUUUUUUUAAAUCAGUGAUAAAGUUAAAAUUAAAUAGUACUAAAGUGAAUAUUACCUUUCUGACUAAAUGGUGGUGGCGCCUUCUCACCGAACAAGGAUUUCGGUGGAUUAAACUAAUUAGAAGUGUAUACUAUACCAGAAGGCGUCUACUUUUCGAAGGCCGGUCCUUUACCGGCCUCACAAUGGUGGAAAAGCGUGGUUAAUCUGAAGGAGGUCUGUAAAUGCGGGUUAAACUUUGAGCUUGAGGACGGCCUUCUUGUUGACUUCUAUGCUGACAGAUGGUAUGGCCCCACCUCUCUAAAGUCGCACUUCCCCGACAUUUUUUGAUACGUCCAUAACAAAGAAGUCCGAGUCAGCAAUUGUUACUCUACAUCUGGGUGGAGGUGGAGAAAGAUCCUGAGAGGCGCCAGAAGAUACCCAUAGUACAGCACACAGAGAAUCAGGGAGUUGAAGAAUCACCUCGUUAAUGUGUUGCCCACCAAUCAUCCCGAUGAGGCCCAAUAGAGAUGGAACCUCGGAAGUUCGUUUACUGUCAAGUCAGUGUAUGCAAUCAUCAGAUUUGGGGGAGUUCUGGAUUCCGUGACGCCUGGCAUUUGGAAAAUGAAAAUUCUGGCUAAAGUCAAAAUCUUUUUCUGGAUAGCCUUAAAGAAUAGAUUGCCUACUGGGGAUAACCUGAGUAAAGGGGGAUGGUCUGGUAAUAACAUCUGUGUUUUGUGUGGCGUCGAGGUGGAGACUAUAAACCAUCUACUAGCGAAAUGUGUGGUUGCCAAGUACCUCUUUGUCUCGUCCCCUCGAGAGCUCCAUACCCUCACCUUACCCGAGGACGUUUAUACCAUAUGGGAGAAGCUGCGGGGGAAGGGGACACCGACGGACAAGUUUAAGGUCCAGAGCCAUAUCGCGGCCCUUUGGUGGACAAUUUAGGAUGUCAGAUAUAAUGCUAUUUUUCGGAACAAACCUUUUGACGUUCUCUCUGUUGCUCAUCAUGUUGAGGAUUUAGCAAAGGAGUGGGCCGCCCUCUGUUGAGCCAGGGGACGCGCAUGUGGUUACUUCACAUCGCCUUGACGUGUACUUCAAGCUUGCACUAGGGGUCGUCUGUAUUUCAGAUUUCAGUUUCCCGUUCGUUUUCUUUUUUCCAUCAUUUUUGUUUUCCAUCCCGAGGCCAUGGAUGCCUCAAUCAAUGUAGCUAAAUUUAUUUUCUUAUUGAAUGAAACGGAUAGUGUGCUAUCUAUUUCUCAAAAAAACCAAAACAAAAUAAAUAACUUGCUAUUUUAUCAAAAAAAUAUGAUAAAUGCAUUGAAUUAUUGGUCAUUAUUAACGUUCUUUUCAUUCUCUUUUGUUUUCCUAACAAAUGCGAUAUAUCACCUACCAUUUUUAUUUUUUUUAUAAUAAUAAUAGUAACGAUAAAUUGUUUAUUAUUUAGAAAAAAAAUAAAAUGGUUCAUUAUCUUAACACUUUUUUCAUGACCAGAAAAGAGUUAUAUUUAUAAUAAACUUUUUAGAAGAUUUUACUUUUAAAUUUAAAAUUAUUUAGAGUUUUUUUGUAGGGUAAAAAAAAGCUCCCACCUUAAGCUAAAAUAUUUGUAGGAUGAGAAGAUAACUUAUGUUUUUUUCAUGGAAGCAGAGGGAGGUAGAAUUAUUUUAAACUUUAUUUGUUAAGUUUAUUAUAAAUUAAAUUUGUCAUAACUUCACUAUCCAAAACUCAUUAUUUGACUUCGUCAAAUCAUUUACGAAAGAGAAAGGAAAAAAAAUUAUAAUAAAAAUAAAGGUUUAUUUUUUGUACUGAUAUAAAUUUUGUUGUUAAACAAAAAAAAAAUUACAGUUUUAAAAUUAUUGAUUUUAUACCAAACAAAAAAUAGUAAAAUAAAAUUAUCUAAAUGUCAAUUCACCAAAAAAUAUUUUAAGAAAUAUUAUCUCUGUACAUUUCUUAACUAUGCGUAACAUAUACAACCUAUCUAUUAUCAAAGGCCCUCUUUCUUUUCUAUGAUUAUCAGCAAAAAACUAAAACACAUUUGAGUUUGCACCAAUUGGAAAAUUAAAAUAGCGUAAAACUUACACCUGUAUAAAAAUAAAUAAAUAAUAUAUUUAAUUAUUUUAAUCUGAAAAUUUUUUACAGCCUGAACAUUAACAGGGCCAUAACCGUUGAGUUUACAAGACCGUGCCUCAAUAACGCAACGGUCAUUAGAACGUUAACGCGGCUCGGUCUAUAAACCCCGGCUCAGGGAAUAGCUUCUCCCAUCCCAGAGACCCAGAGCGCUUUCCCGCCAAAAUCAGCCUCCGCCUUCCCCAAAGGGCCCAAGAUACGGUGCGGUCCCGGAGCGUCGCCCAAACCCUAGCUUCGAUCGCCCCUUCCUUCAAACCCUCCCAUGGCGACAUCGCCCACUGCAUCGGAUCCUCCCUCCUCUCCGAUCGCCGCCUCAGAUACCGCCGAUAACAAUCUCCAGGUCCCUGCUCCACCCCCCUCUUCUCUCUCUCUCAUCAUUGCUCAUCCUUUCGUCCUGAUUCUUCUGUUCUUUUCUUGUUGCAGCCAUUUUUUGUUUUGCACAAAGCAUUGCCUGGGAAAUCCGAGAAAAGGGCUUCUGGAUCCGGGAGAACCAGAAGAAAGAUCGAUCUAAGUGCUUCCUCCCCGAAAUCUGCGGAGAAAUCCGAUCAGAUUCCACCGGAUGACUCCGAUGCCAUUUGUGAGAAGCUUCGUCUCGAAGCCUUCGAGCGUACCUGGUCCAAAAUCGACUCCACAAUCAAGGUCUUAUUCUUUUUCUAACACCCUAUUUAGUUCUCUCCUUGAAUGAAUGAGAACUGUGUUUUCCCAACCUUUUCCUGGAUAUUGUUUCUUGGAUCAGGAGGUCUUGCGACAGAUCAACCUCAAUCUGUUCAAUGAAGUGCUGCAAUGGAUCCAGGAAUUGUUCUCGAUCAUCAAAUCCAGCAGAACAACUAGCCUUUCAGAAAUCCAACGGCCUUACCCGUUGUUAACAGAUGCAUUAUGCAGGAGGGUACCUGCUGCGUUCGUUUUCACUAGUGAGGAUCCGUUAGUGGUUUCUGCUCUAAAUUCCUCUUAAGAGAUGAUUCUUGGUAGUACUUACUAAUUCGCUCAAUUUUGUUCAGAGAAUGUCGAGUUUGUGGAUGAUCUUUUGACGUUUCAAGAUCUUGGCGUGCAUUUGAAAAGUAACAGAUGCCAUGUUGCCAGCCUUUCGGGUUUGGACUUUUUGGCUAAACAUGGGAUAGGCGGUUGCGUUAGAAGCUUGUUGAGGCAGCUGGUUUCAGAUGCUUCAGAUGUGAGUUACCGUGAUUUUCAGCGAUCAAAUUUCAUCUCUCAUGAGAAGUCGUUAUUGAUUCUUACAUCUUAUGGCUUGUUUGCUUAUUUUGUAUUACCAGGUGGCUGAUUUUGCUGUAUUAGCCUCUUGGUACUGCGAACAAGAGAACUACAACAAUCCCAUCAUUAUCAUAAUUGAUGAUAUGCAGCGAUGUAAUGGUGGCGUCCUUGGUGAGUUCAUCACAUUGCUAAGGUGCUGUAUCUCUCACUUUUGAAUGUCUCAUUGCCCAUCUUUUCUGGUUCAUAUAUGGCAUUACGGGUUUUUUUUUUUUUUUUUUUUUUUUUCUGCUUCUAAACUUUGUGGAUUACGUCAAGUUUAAUAAAUAUUUAAGCACUUGCUUUCUCCUUAUUUUAGGGACAUUUUUAGCCAAAUGCUUGAUGCAAUGGUCUUUUAUAGUUUGCUUUCCUUUUUUUUAUUGGUAUUUGCUGAAUGUCCUGCAUGCUUAUGCUAAACAGAUGAGAACAGAGAAAGUAUACUCAUCUACUAUAUCCAUUGAUAAAGGCAUGUACUAGGGUUUUUAUUUUCUGGAAAAAAUGUAUGGACCUUACCUGAACUAUGGGACAUUUGGAUUGGGCUACCCAAACUCUCAAAAUUUUAAUUUUACUUUUUAACCCUUCAAUUUAUUUGAUUUGGGUCAGUCAACUGCACUUUGACUCUAAAUGUUAAGCUAAUUACUUAUUUUUAAUAAACUUAUAAUUGUAAGAAUUGCAUGACAUAUACUAACUAAAUUUGUAAAGAUAAAUGACGCAUUCAAAUUUUAAAGUCAAGGUAUUGUUGACGGAUUGAAAUUAAACAAUUAAAAAAUUAGAUAGUAAAAUUAAAAUUUUGAAAAGUUAGGUGACUAAAUUCAAAUGGUCCAUUUUUCAGGCAAGGUCCAUACAUUUUUACUUUAUUUUCUUCCUCUAUUCCUUGGCACUAUAUUAAACAGCUAAGAACAGAGGAAAGUACACUUACCGCCUAUAUCAUCCAUCAAUAAAGGCAUAUACUAUGGUUUUUAUUUUUUUUCCUCUCUCUUUGGGACUAUUUGACCUAACCACUCUUCGCCAGCUACAAAGUGCACACUUGUAGGAUAUAGCUCUGAGCCUCUGAUAUAACAAUUUAAAUCAUAAACUAUGUCUAUUGUAUAAAUAAAAAAUGUUUCACGAAUCUAGUUGUGCUCCAUUUUCUCGAUUCUUCAAAGCAGUGUUAAGUCAAAUGGUGGUCAGUAUUUUAAAUUUUUUUAAUUACCUUUACUGGAAUAUUUUUUGGUGUACUUAAAACUAAUUCUGUCAACAGCUAUCAUAUACUCUAGGCUUUCUGCUUUUAUUACCUGGCUUCUGAAAAAGUUGUUUCUUACAGCGAAUGGGUUAUUAAGAUUCCAAUUUUUAUUAUAAUGGGAGUUGCAACGACUGUUGAUGCCCCUAGAAAGCUUCUUUCUUCAAAUGCUCUGCAGCACCUGCAGCCUUGUAAGCUCACAUUGGGGUCUCCUGCUGAGAGAAUGAAUGCAUUAGUCGAGGCUAUUCUUGUAAAGCCAUGCUCUGGAUUCAGUAUAAGCCAUAAAGUUGCAGUAUUUCUUAGAAACUAUUUCCUUAGACAUGACGGAACAAUAACUUCAUUCAUAAGUGCCUUAAAGGUCAGUUCUUUUUUAAAGUUGAUAUAUUUCUGAUUUAUCAGCCACAUUGUGGAUGUUUCUCUGUUUAAGCACAGACAUGUUAAAAGACAAUUUUUUGUUUUGCAGCUUGCUUGCAGUAAACACUUCUCCUUGGAGCCUUUGAGUUGUUUAUGCCUGGGAACUUUUGAUGAGAAUCGUCGGGUUAUCUUUCUACUCUCACAUAGAAAAUAAGACAUUCACCUUAUAUGCCUGCUCUGAUAAUACUCUAUAAUGUUAGCGUAAUUCAUUCUCUGAUAGAACAUUUGUAAAGAUAUGCAGACCACUUCAUGUGGUUAAAAUAUGCUAUUUGAUAAAUACAUUAAAGAUAACCCUCACCUUUGUUGUUAUAUGAUAUUGCUGGAAGAUGUGCAUCACAAUGAGUGUUUAGUGCAGUCGCUGAAGUAAUAUAUAUUGCUAUGGUUUUGCAUAUCUCCUUUUCCUUUAAAUUUUUAUUGAGUCCUACUGUUGAUUUUUGCUCUAAGUUGGUUCUGCACACCAAUAGAUAAAUUUUUCCUUGUGCACAUUAUUUGGCAGGACGAGUUUGAUGCAUUUCCUGGGCCUAUCCUUAGAACGGCUUUUGAUCUCCCCUCUUGUAAAAGGUAGUGGAUUUAUAUCUAAAUUUUCCGUGCGUUAGUAAAUGCAGAGAUGUUCUGCAGACUGGAACUAAAAAGUGGACUGUACUGUCAGGGAGAAGAUUUCUCAAGGCAGUGGAACUAGCAUCACACAAGGGUUGUCUCAGCUCAGAAAGCUGCAAAGAAGUUGGAGUUCUGUUGUAAUGGUAUGUUCUCUUAUGUGCAUCGGAAAAGAUAUGAGCAUGGGAACACUGAAAAAGUACAUCAAAUGAUGCUUGCGUACUUUUCCAUAAUUGCACUGCAUCUGCAUUCAACUGUUAAUUAGAAAAUAUCAGGUAUAUGGGGUUUCUUGCAGAGUUUCUUCAACAUGAUCCAGUAUGCAUGUGCAUUUAAUGCUAUUGGUAUACAUUUUACUGUAACUCUGAAUGAUUAUAACGUUUUCACUAUACGGUGAAUUUGCUUAAGAGUUGAAAUGGAUAAUACAUAGGAUUUAUCCUGCUACUCCUCUCUCUUUCUCGUUGUUCUUUAUCUUUUUGAUCUGCCAUUCACGCUAUUUCUCCUGCAGACUAUUCUGGUUCAAUUGGUAUAUCCAUGUAAAUGCUUUUUUUGGGUGAUAUUUAGAGUUCUCAAGCUUAUUUUCUUUUCCAGUGACUCCACAGGUUCAAGUUUGAGCACCUCAUUAUAUAAUGUUAUAUCUCUUGCGAGCAUCACUCAAUUGUCUUCUUUGUUUACUUUAUAAUCUUUACAGUGCUUAUUUGAAACUGGAAAACGUAGCAAGAUGCAGCUACUAGACAUUUUCUGUGAAGCCAGCGAUCCUAAUUUGCAAAUAUCUUCUAUGACUAGAGGCAUCCCUAUUACAGGAAAACUGGGCUCUGGCAAAGCAGGAUUUAUUGCUCAGGCAAUACAUAGAGUAAGGUUGUAGCAUCCUAGAGAUUGCUUUUGGCUUACGAAUGAAUAUUGCUUCAUAGCUGAACUUUAUGUGUUCGUCAUUACAUGUUUGAACAAUACCACUAACUAUAUAUUCUUUGAUUAUCAAACUUGAUUUCGGGAAAAUAUUAUGGAGGUCUCUGACUUAAAAAGGAGUAAGAUUUAUGUCUCAUAAGACGUUCAAUUGAUCACCAACCGUCUCUAGUGCAAGUGGCAAAGGGCUUGGUGGUUGGUACGCGAGGUCUCAAGUUUGAAGCCUAGUUGCUUCACAUUUCCAGCUAAGUUUAUUUCUAGAAAAAAUAAACGAAGCGGGUAGUAUGCUACCUUUCUCUCUCAAAAGAAAAAAUCGCUCAAUUGGUCAUCUAAAUACCGCUGGAGUUGGAGUAUAGGACAACUACAGAACUUCCCAUCAUCUCAUGGUAGUAAUAGUUAAUGAUAAGAUCACUGAAGUGAAAACUUAUCCACAUUACUAAGUCACUAUGGUGCCAUCUUAUGUUGUACCGCCCUUUCAUUGGUGCCAUCUUGUGAAGUGAAAACUCAUCCACAUUGCUCACUAUGGUGCUCGCUAUUUUCACCAUUAGGUUUCCAAUUUGGGUAUGGCGGAUGCAAAAAUUGUCUUUGGUUGAUUAAUAUAGGAAGUAUUGUACUCUUGUUUUUUUUGCCCUUAUUACAUUGCUGAUAUCUAGGAAUAUGUUGGCGAUUUGUUAUAUUGUCCAGGGAAUUGCCCAUCGCCUUGCUUCCUCACGUGCUUAAAAUGUGGAGUCUCCAUAUGAAAGACAUGAAUGAGGUACUAUAGAUGUUAUUUUCCCAUAUUAAAAGUGGUGUUUAUUGUCAAUAUGUUAGUAUCCCUCUUCUCAACAUUUUAAAAUUACAAAUCUUACAAAUAUUUUUUUCUAUCAACUUUAGCCCAGUUGUGAAAUAAUGUGCUAGAUCUCUUGAAUGGAAAAAGAAAGAGCAAUUCUGGAAUACUUGAAUAUACCAGAGUCAUUACAACGGUGUCUUAGUAGUCUCUCUGUGCACUUUCUUUAUUUCAUUGAAUCAGAUAAUGAUUGGAGUACCAAUUGGGAAUAUUUGUGCUCUUCUAGUGACUGAGCCAACCUUAGAUCCAAAAGAUUUUCGAUAACAUAAAAGGAAAAAAAAACCUACCAAAGUUUAAAGAUUUGUCAAUUUUUCCCAAUAUUGAUUGAGUUGAAGGCUAUUACUAAUAUGGUCUCAAGUAUAAAGAUUUCUCUGUAGAUUUCAGUGGCAGUUAAGAUUCAUGGUCUUCCUUGCAAUGCCGUAUUAUAGUGCUGAUAUUUCUGUUGUAUUAUUGACUCCUGUGUAUUAAAGCGUGAAUAUUCUUCUGAAAAGAUAUGUUUUUGAAUGUUAUAGCAGGAAACUUCACGUAAUUGACUACAUUAUGAAUUUCAUCACAUCUUGACUGGAUUUAACCUUUAUAAUAGGUCAUAGAUAAAGUGAAAGAACUCCAAUCAAACAUAGCAAGUGGAGAUGGUGGCCAGCUCUAUAAGGAAAAGUGGACAGACAUUCACAAGUACGAGCAAGGCUUUAAUUUAUUCUCUCCUGCAUUUAGGGAAUUUAAAUGAUCCAUGUACUUACGGGUUUUCUUUCUAAAGUAGCUGCACGUAGACAAGUUGUUCUACAAGUGGUUGUGUUGUGAAGCAACAGUCUCAAAUAUCAAAACAUUUUAUUUGAGUAUUCAACAGUACUUGAUCAGUAGAAACAUUACAUGUUUUCAUGCGACAGGAGGCCAGUAUACUUGGGUGCAAGAAAGGGAACAGUAUCAGUAAAUGAUAAAGCAGCUAUGUUGUUGGAUGACAUGGUCAGGUAGGACUCACCUUUAUCGUGUGUGCAAUUCGAUUGGAGCAUUUUCCUUGUAGAUUGUACUGGUCUUUCUUCAGUACAGGCUAUACUAUUUUUCGCAUUUUAUGCAAAGAGAGAAAACUUGAGAUUUGGGAAUGGUUUUUGCUAUCAUCAUUUAUCCAGUAUUCCAGUGUUCUUUUUAUUCAAGAACCAGUUACUAAAUAAGCCUGUGUAUGAAUAUUUCCAAGUAUCUGAAAAAAAUUGUCGAAUUGAAUCUCUAUAGAAUUCGGUGGUUUUUACCUUAAAACUUUCCUGGUGGAGUAAAUUUUAUCUUUGGCUAUCUGUGUUGUUAUACAUUUUCCUUCUCUAAGAAUGCGGACAAGAAUUUUAAAGCCAACUCUGGAUACUAUAUUUGGUUUAUUGAUUUUUUUCCUCUCAAGACUCACUAAGUUUCAAAUUAUUAUAUGUGUUUCUAUAUAUGUCCAAAAUACAUUAAAAUUUCCAAAAUGUAAAUUGCUCUUCCAUUAGCUUAGAAUACCGGAUUAUAUAUGUAUAGCAUUUCCUUGUGUUAGUGAUUUUGCAAAAUAUUGUUUUUAUUGGAAAUCAAUGUUCCACAUUUCUAUAAAUUGUUGUUUGAAACAGGAAAUAUUUGACCCCUAUAGAGUGUGCACCUUUUCAUGAAAUCAUCUGCUUCGGACAUGUUGAAAUUCUACAAUCAGUAAGUCCUUUGAUCUCAUGAUAUUGAUGGUUUAACAUUCUCUUUACAAGGAUUGAUUUUGUUGUUGAAUCGACGUUACUAAUUAACUCUGUUCUUUGCUUGCGGCACUUUUUUUUUUUUUUUGCAUUCGAUAUCUGCUGCACAUAAGGAAAAGUAUGGCUUAAAUGGUCAAUGUUCUUUCCUUCAUUACCCUUUAUUGCAUUACAAGCCUAUGCUUGUGUCUUUUCUAUGUACUACUAUGGAUCCCCAAAGAAUACAACUUUUAUAAGUUGUUGAUGUGUUGGCAUGCAUGAUAUGGAAGGCUUUGAUUGGGUCGUACACAUUGUUCAAAAUGCUACGUGGGUUUGCCAGCACAUCCUAGGCCAAUAAAGGGAACCUUUUUUGGGAACCCAAAGCAUUGCCUAUUGUCUUAUGCAUAGUUAGUUAAUUCGGAUUCGGCAAAAAUUCGGUACGGGUAUAAUUCGAAUAAAAUCCGCCUUUUAAUUUUUAAAUUCGUUAAAAAAUACGGCUAAAAAACGGAUUCGGUAAUUAUUCGGAUACGUGAUUUAUACGGGUAUUAUACGUUCACCAAUUAAAAAUUCGGGAUCAAAAAUUCGGCUAUAUAUUAAAUAUAUAAUAAUUAAUAUACUAUAUAUAUUAUUAUUAUAAUUUUUAUAUACAAAUUAAGUAUAUUCAUAUAUUAAUAAUAAACAUAUAUUAAUAAUAUAUAAGAUUUAUAUAUUUAAAAAUAUUAAUAAAUAAUUAUAAAUUUAUAAAUAAAAUAUCAUAUAAAUAUUUCUAUAUAAAAAUAAAAAUAAAAAAAUAUAUAUAAUAAAUGAAUAUAUAUAUAUAUAUAUAAGAGGGAGGUCCACAGGUCCACUGUGGACCUCCCCUCAUGCGGUCCACGAGGUGGAAAUGGCCUCGUGGACCGCGUGCACCAUCCAUGCCUUAUGAGCCCCGAUUUUUUUCCUGUUCAUCUUCUUUUUUUCUGCCGAGGCGAGACGGGAUCCGCAGCGUUGCUCUCGGCACCGGCGAGGGCGGCGGAGGACGACGACGACGUGAGCGGUGACGAGACAGGAUCCGCAGCCGUGGCCCUUGCUCCCGGUGCCGGCGAGGGCGGCGGAGGACGACGACGACGCGAGCGGCGACGACGCGACCCUCGGCCGAUCGCCGAUUUUUUGGGCGAUUUAUUCGCGAAUCGCGAAUAAUUCGCGAAUAAUUAUUUUUGAGGAAAAAAUCGCGUUUUUUUCCUAAUUUUUUGAAAAAAUACGGGACGCCCCGUUUAAUUCGUAUUUUUAAAUGUACGCGAAUUAUUCGCGUAUUAAUCGCGAAUUAACUAACAGAGGUCUUAUGUAUCUUGAACAACAGAAAAUGAACCAUUUUAGGAGUUGCUCGGUGAACUCUGAAAGAAACCAUGGGAUGCCAUUAAAAUUAGAAGAGAUUAAAGAGUUACGAUCAGCAUCCUUAUCCUACUAGAUUCAAGAGCUUGGAUGAAGUCAGAUUAUAGGUUAUCUUAUUCAUGGCAAUUCCAGGUCAUCUUCCAUGUGUCUCUAGUAGGGUUUUUUUUUGUCCUCAUUCAAUUUUGUGAUCCGGCAAAAUUUUCCUUAUUUUGCUACUAUCCAUCUCAUCUAGUGUCUGGACCAUUAUCUUUUGUCUUCUGAUUUUGUACUCCCUAUUUAAUUCUAGCUUGUGAUCUCCUUUCUUAGAACUUUGUGUCAGUUCUGAUUAUCUGACCAUAUGUCUAAGAGGAAAUGAUUAAUUUUAAAUGUAGGCAUUAAUUGGAGAUACAAGGAGGAUAAUUCAGGUUGAUCUUUUGAAGCCUCAAAAUCAUCUUCGGUGCUCUUGCUGCAAUGGUGAUGAAAAUAUUGUAUCACCAACAAUGCAUGAUACCUCAAUUAUGUGAGCAUUUUUGUAUUUCUUGCAAAUCUUUUACACCGUUUCGAAUAAGCUUCCAGUGCAUAUGUAGUUCUUUAAUGUUCAUCUCACGCAUAUGUAGUUCUUCAAUGUUCAUCUCACUGAAUUCUGCGUAGUCAUACCUUAGAUAUAUAGUAAUGAGGACCUGAAUUACGUUUAUUUUUCCUAGUCUACUGAAAUUCUAUUGUGCUUUGGUCAUUCUCAAAAGAAGUGUUUGUUGCUAUGCUUGUGAUCACUGAUAUGGUAGAAUUUAAAAAUUAUUAUGCAGGUACUACCUCUCUCAAGAGUAUGGUGAUGUCAUUAAUCUUCAUGAUUGGUACCAAAUUUUCAAAGUGACAAUUAGUACUCCUAGCUCAAAAUCCAGAAAGAGAUUGCAUAAUUCUCCAGCAUCCAAAAAACUUAAAACCACACCUACAGAGAAUGAAGCUGAGAUCCAGUAUCCUUUGGGUUUUACUGCUUUUCAUUCAGAUUAGAGGGCAUUCAUCAUUAGACACCGACAAAAAAAUAUGUAGGAAUAAAUGACUUUCAACUUAUUUGUAAGUGGUUAGAAUUUUGAACUCAUUCCGUAAUAGUAUUUUGUCGUUCCUGCACAACAGUUAUCAAAAAGUUGAUAUUGCAUUCUCUAAAUCCACUUUUAGGAAACUAAAACUUCUAAUUUAAUAAUGCCUAUUAGGUAUCUUUUUAAGAGCCUCUUUAUGUUUAUAUGUAAGAUAGAAUAGGAUAUGACAUUCAUAAUUUACAGUAGUAUCUAUAUUACUUUAUGGAACACUGAUAUGUAGUCCAAAACCGACGUUUGCUAACUGGAUACAUCAACUGGCUAUUGGUGAAAGAUGGAUUGUGAUCCUUCAUAUGAUGUUUUUCAAGAUCAAGGUUUUGUAGGGCUGUUACGGAGCUCCAAAUCACCGGGCUUCUUCGGAUGCCGAGCAAGAGAAGGCCGGACUUCGUCCAGAGAGUUGCAUUUGGUCUUUAGGCUUUUAAAAUAUGGUAAAUGUUUUCAUCCCAUGAAAGUGUAUAUCAGGAUAAACCAAGUAAUGUAUUACUUUUGGAGUUUGUCAGUGUGGUUUCUCCUAACUUUUCAUCGCUUUGAGUAAUUUAUUUCUUAUUAAUACCCAAAUCUAUCGCAUUUUUUGGUAUUCCAUAGGGUGGUGAUUUAUAAAAGCAAGGAAUUUUCCUUUGCCAACAUUUGAAUACUUGCAAAGAGCAGCUGCAGAGGAAUCAGUCGUUAAUUCGCAAGGCACGGGCAUAUGAUGCAUCUCCAUAUUCCCAAAGCUUGAUUCGAUUUGGGCAUGCAUUCCGCCCCCGCUGGUGACUGUCGUGAAUCCUUGGCUUAAUCAACGUCUCAGGCUUUCAACAGGCCAACAGGUCACUCUUAUGAAAAACUAUGCAGCGUGGCUUUUCUUCUUGUGUCUGAUUCUCUUUGAAGCGCUGUUAACAUGAUAUUUAUUUAUUCAUUUAUUUUGAAACAAAGCCCGUAGAAAGAUGAUGGUUUAUUUAUGUUAUGACCAAGGCAUGGCGCCUCAGAGGAAGGUAUUAUUAUUAUUAUUAUUAUUAUUAUUGUAUACUAGCACUCUUACUUCGGUAUCUCUCACUGUUUCUUAUGUAAUUAAUGUAGAUGGAUUCCCUAAUGGUUAUUAUUUUAGCCACACUCAUAUGUCGACAAAUUAGGAGCACACAUUGGUGGUAUGGUUAUAGUCAAAAGAAGAGCCAAAUUUCCCGUCGUUUCGAACACUGAAUAGACCAAGCCGUUGUCAGUGGGCAUGGCACAAAUCAAGCCUACGGGUAUUCCAUCAAAAUGUAUGUCCGAAAAUAUAGAUGCAUACAAAGUAUCUAGCACCAUAUCCCUAGAAACGUGUGUUAAAUUUAGCUGUACAAAGAAAUCAUAAACAUCAAAUAUGCAACAAAUGUAGUGUCCAUCGAGCAACAAAAAAGAAAAGAAAAAAGAAAUCAAACAUUAUGCAUGAUGUACUUGUACUUUGACCUCAGAAUAUAAAAAUGCAUUUUCUGCGAACCUAUAUUUAUAUCUAGAAACAUGGGGUAGAAGAAGUCAAACCAAUUCCAUGCAUUGAUUCCACCCUAUAUUCCAGGGCAUCACCGAUGACAUUCCCAUUUAGAGGAAAACACACACACACAGUAAAGAACGCUGCAACUACAAAUUUGGUCUAAAAUCACAAUGAGAUUUCUCUUCAUACAAGCAAAUGAAUCCUAGUAUUACCUAACACAAGUAGGUCAGUUUGAUUCUGAAAUCGGUUCUAUCGUUCAGAAACUACCAUUCCUGAAAGAAAGAUUUCACACAAGCAAGCCAGACUGAUGGAGCCUAAGGAGAAAGAAACUAUACACCAAGCUCAUUUGGGACGGCAAAACAUAGCCCAACACAAAAAGUUUAAACAUGAAUACUAACUAUGCCGCAAUGCUAAGAAAGUUCCUAUAAGAUAUUAGGAACCUGGGAGGCAAGCCUGUGCUGCAACUCCUUAAUCUUCAAGCACAGCUCUACCUUCUGCUCCUUGUAGCUCUGAAGCAAGUAGUCCUUCCCUUCAAUCACUUCCCUUAACUCCGCCACUUCCCUCUUCAGCAUCUCAACCUUCUCUUCAUCCCCUCUAACCUCCCCACCACCACUAAAACAGUGCAAAUCCACAUCAUCUAUGUGGUUAGCAUAUCCAUUCACAAAUCCAUUAGCAUGCACUGGUUUCUCUUGCGAACCCAUCUCUGCCACACAGUGGUCGGCGAUGGCUUUUCUGAGCCGCUGGAUCUCCCUCUCAGACUCGAAGAGGUCCGUAUUUGCAGCAUCGAUCUGAGACUGCAAAUCAGCUGAAUGGCUCAUUUCGAUGUUUAGGGAAUUGCGGAGGUCCACGAUCUGUGACUGCAUCUCCAUUAUCAUCUCGUCCCGUCUUUGGAGCUGUUGCCUUAGCUUUUGAAUCACCUCUCGCUUGAUGUAGAUGUCUGAUCCGGAUUCUGAGACACAUGGGGAUUCUGAGCUGUUUGAGUGAUGGAACGGCUUUUGAGGUAGCCCUAGGCGAUCGGGUGAAGGUGACCACAUCACUCCGCUGUCUUUGUUGGGCUCUUCAGUUGGGAUCUUUACUAAAGGAAGGGAGCUAUCUUCUUCCUUGGACAUUUGACUGGUGGGUACCAGCUUUAUGUUUAAUGCAACAUCUGAAAUCAUUAUGUCAUCACAUUACCUUUUUAUUCGCAAAUCUAAAAAUUAGAGCUUCUAUUUCACCUUUAUUCAGAGAAUAUGGGAGAGCCGCUAUAUCAUAUUUAUUCUAUUUCUUUCCUGGAUUAACAGUUUAAGAUCAAAAUAGUGAAGUCCAAGUAUAGUUAUUUUCCUUCAUUUUUGUGUGUGUAAAUAUUUGCAUGCACCAGGACACAUGCAGGUAAAGAACAAAUAAAGUGGCAGCACAAGUAUUUGAAAAGAGAAAGCAAACACACAAAAUGCCAUCUAAAAUCUUACUAGGACUAUUUCUAAGGAAGACAUUACUUUUGAUAAAGCCACACAUUUGUGUUUGAUAACACUUUCUUGGAAGUACCACCUCUACCACCCACCAAGUAUAUGUUCAGUACAGCUUUUUCCUAUACGCUUAAGAUCAAACACCCACACAGCUGCUAAAGGAGUAUAAUAUCACGUAAAAAUGCGAGAAGAAAAAUUGAUACUUAAGCAGUUCAAAAAUACAACACCUGAGGGGCAAUGAUAACAGCCAUCUUCCUUUGAAGUAUAACAAUAUAAAUUUGAAUGCAGUUGGCAAGUUGAAGCCCUCCGCCUGGUUGCAGAUUUUCCCCUCUCUGGUUAAGUAUGUUAAUAAAUAAUAAGUAUAAUAAGAAGACACAAUAAACUUCUUACUUCAUAAGGUGUCUAAAACGGCUUGACCAUUAGAAAGAACAAUGUAAAAUUGGAUAAGACCUUUUGUAGCAUUAUUGGAACUAUUUGAACGACUGUUCUGAAAGAUCUGAUUCAGUUUGCAUCCAAGCCUGAUAGACAAUGUGCUUAACAAUGCGCCUCCGGCUAGAAGGACCCAAUUUGGUCCUUCUCCUUGAACACGCUCCAACCGCUUUGCUCUCUGAAUGGUCCCAUUUGCAUUCGGUUUCAUCUUAAGGGAUCGGUGACAGGUAUUAGAAGCUCAACACUUUACAAAGUAAUCCUGCAAGGAAAUAGAUUAUUAGCAAGUUCGAGUAAAGAAGCAAACUAUACAACAUCUAUGUUUCGCGAAUAUCUAAAUAAUAAGUUUAAGGCAAACAUAAAAGAACAGAGAAAAAUUAAGAUUUACUGUCCAUAUAUUUGCUACUACUGCGUUCAAUGCAAAAACAAACCAAAUUUGAAAUGGAAGAUUUUGAAAAAAAAAAAAACUAACAUUACACGAGCAAGAAAGUAGAUACAAAUACUAUGUUUUGCAGAUUUGCCUUCCAUAACACAGAAACAGAUCUUCAGGACGCCCUAUGGAACCUAAAUCCAAUUUUAAGCUAAUUUCGCAGAACAAGUACUGAAUCGUUCACAGUGAGUCACUCAAAACAUAAUAACCCCUAAUUCAAACGUGCAAAUGCCAUUCAUCUCUUACCCAGUCCGCAUAUUUCUCUUUUUUUUUUUCAUUUGAUAAACCCUAGAAAUAUUCCACUAUAAUAAAUGGCAUAAAAUAUUUCAAAUAUAGUAAAGCUCCACAACAUCACCGCAAAAUCCAAUGCUCUCCGAUCAAUUCAAAAUUCCCCCCCCCCCCCAAAAAAAACCCCUAAAAAAUCAACAGAAAUGGGAAGUAGAAACAGCAGUAAAUCGCACAGAAAAAGGAAAAUAUCGACCUCAUUCAACUGGAAUCGCCGAAAAGAAUCCGAUCCCUCCUUAUUUCAAAGAAGAAGAAAACGACGACGACGACGACGACGACGACGAUGAAGAAGAAGAAAAAGAAGCAGCAGCAGCAGUUUCUCUCGCACACUAUGACUACAGCCCUUUCCUUUCUCCUCCUCUCCUCUUUCUUACUUUAAUCUCUUCCACACUACUCUCCUUUUUUUUCCCUCGAGAUAUUUCCUCUUUUCUCUUUAUUCUUCUUCUUUUCUCUUUUUUUUUCCCCUUUUUUAAAAUAAAAAAUUGUGAUCCUUAGGUUUUGGAGAAGCGGAGUGGUAUGAGAGAGAGAGAGAGAGAUAGAGAGAGAGAGAGAGAGGGAGAGUGGGGAAGGGGAACCCUCGUCUUUGGGCGUUCGAUUUGGCGGCUUCGGGUGCGGGGGAAGAGAGAGAGAGAGAGAGAGAGAGAGAGAGAGGGGUUCGAAAAACCGUGCGGCCGCACCGGCACGUGCACGUCGCCUAUCACGUGUCCACUGCGACAGGCGAAGCCGUGGGCUAACGGAAAAUUUUCUUUUUUUUAUUUCUUUUUCCCGAUCGAUUUUUAUGUUUUUAAUCUUCUUUUAUUAAGAAAUAGAGAGGCAAAACAAGGCCACAGGUCUUGGAAUAAAUUAUCAAUAAUAUUUUAUUUGAUAUACGAAUUUUUUUUAUUAUAAUUAAAAACUAGACCUAUGAUCAAGUCUCUAUAAUUAAAUACAAUUUUCUAUCUUCCAAAUAUUUUUAAAAUUAAAAUAAAUUAUUUUACAGAGUCAGAAUAUACUAUUCUAUCAAUUUGUGAAUGUCGGGAAUUCUUAAAAAAAAAAACCUAUAUUUUAAUAGGCUUCUUAAAUACCGCUGCAGGAAACAAUAGUUUUCGUGGUCAAAUGCUAUUUUACGUAUGCACACUAUCAGCAAAUUGCCUAUUAACUCAUGCAAAGAAGAAUUAUUUAUGCUUUAAUUACUUAUUAAGUGUUGCCCCCUAAUUAGACUUAAAAUAGUGAAAUCAUUUGAAGAGGUGCAACAAUCAACUAUCAAAUGUCAAGUGAAUCAACAAUAAAUUACAAUCAUAUGAUACCAAGCUAAAUUAUUGUAAGUUUGAGAGUUCAAUCAAAUUCAUCUGUGAUUUAAGUGAAUGAAACAUUAUCUACUCAUUUAAUUUAAAUUCCACAUUAUUUGGUCAUAUAUGUGAGCCAGAGUACUGACUUUUUAGCAUAUUUUGGUAGCUAAUUAACUUAAUGUUUUAGGUGGAGAACCUAAAAUAUAUCCCAUGGGAGAAGAGCUGAAUAGGCAAUUAAAAUUCUUAUCAGAGAAUAAAAAAAAUGGAUUAAAGAAUAAGAGAGUUCAAAAUACCCUCAAAUCUUUGGAAAGUCAAUGCGAUGUUUUAGUUGGCAUGCAUGUCAUUUAGUUUGGAACUUUUCUUCUUGAAAUAAAUAUAAGGGGAGGGUAAACUUAUUCCUACCAUGAUCUUGUCAAAUGCUGUAAUAACUAAGAAAGUCAACUCACUCAUCGUUGCAUUUAACACAGUUUCUCAGCUAAUUGAUAUAAACAAUUUAAAUAGAAAUAAAAUCAAAAGCUCAAAAGCUAGCAAUCAACAAAAAAAAAAAAGAAAGAAAAAGGGACCUACAAUUUAGGAGGUUCCGGCUGGUACAUUUUUACCUUAAAACUUCUGAACUAAACUUUUUUUUUUUUUUUUUUUUUUUUUUUUUUUUUUUUUUUUUGUUUCUGAAUGAGUUAGGAGGUUGUGUAGUGUGCUAUUUGUAAUGAAUUAUGGAUUUCGAGGCCAAAUCUGUUUACAAAGGGAAAGAAUUGAGAAUAUCAUAGAAGAUAUGGUCUUAAUUUUGGGCUAUUAAGAAGUGAAAGAAUGUAAUCACCCAAUUGCAUCUUUUUAAGUUCAAGAUAGAGUGCAUGACGCAGGAUUAAUAAACUACUUGGACCUGGUUCUUCACAUCGGACCUCCACCACGCCACUAUCUAGUGAUCUGCCAUGUCAUAAAAUAUAAAUGAUCUCUUAAAAAUUUAAAAUAAUUCACAAAUAAUUAUAUUGAAAAAAUUGAGGUAAGAGAGAGACUAUAGACCUGGUCCACACAAUAAUUUCUUGGACUGUUGGACUCCGACGGGAUAGAGACCAACAAGCAACUUCGUUUACUCUAUCAACCCUUUAACUUUCAACGCAGAAGCCACCAAUCGAAUAAUCGAAUGCAUGAGAAAAAGAUUACAAAAAAAAACAAAGUACAGAAAUGGUUCAGCUUUGUCAAGUUGUAAUUUGACAAUGAAAGUGUUUUUUUGUUAAUUAUGUUACGGAUUGUACGAUCAACUGCGCCGCGCCAAAGAAUAAAAAAAAUAUAUUACCGCCAAUCUCUUCAAUAUUGUUGAUUUUAUACACUGCUGUGCAUGAUGUGACCGUCCCUAGAGCAAGUGGCAAAGGGCUUGGUGGUUGGUAACCGAGACCCAAAUUCGAAUCCUAAUUGAUUCACAUUUUCAGCUAAGUUUAUUUUUAAAUGAAAUAAACAAAGCGGGUAGCGUGCUACCUAUCUCUCUCAAAAAAAAAAAGAAAAGAAAAAAAAGAAGAAGAAGAAGAAAGAUUCUAAUCGAUUUAUUCAUAUAAUUUAAAUACCAAAUCAUAUGGAGUGAUUAAUAAUGGAUCAGAUCAGCAGCGUAUUAAAAUAUGCCUUUAAGCGAUCCGAAACAUUGACCUCGAUCGAAAUAAAAAAAAAAGAAGGAACAAUUAACUACCAAGAUAAAUCGAGUCUAUUUGAAUUUUGUUGGCAAUACGUCUAAUUAAUGCCUUUUCCAUACUCUGGCAUGACGUAUUAAUUAAAUCUAAUGGAUUGUCCACCAACAACAACGAGCUCACAAAUAGAGGCCAAAGAUCAUACAUUGUCCAUCGAUCUAACCUUCCAUUAAUUAGUCCUAAAGCCUCUUAGUUAAUAAUAAACUAAUUAAUCAUCGGCUCUAAAACAUGUCUUUGAUUUUCUUUCUUUCUCUUUUUUUCUGCUCUUACGCUUCGAUCGCCGCCGGGCAACACGGCGGUGCGAAAACAGCGCAAACAUACAUAGUUCAUGUGCGCCGGACUCCCGGCUCGGCGAAGUUCGCCUCCUUCGCCGAAAAGGCUCAGUGGUACAAAUCCUUCUUGCCCGUCGGAGAUCGCCUCAUCUACUCGUACGGCGACGUCGUCAGCGGUUUCGCCGCCAAGCUGACCGACGAGGAGCUUGCGAUCGUGACAAAGAAAGUCGGGUUCGUCGACGCCUGCCCCGACCGCAUAUUGUCUCUCCACACUACGCACACUCCGAGCUUCUUGGGGCUCACAAGAGACGCCCCCGGCUUCUGGAACGACGCAAACUAUGGCCGCGGAGUGAUCGUCGGAGUGCUUGACACCGGAAUUUCGCCGAGGCACCCCUCUUUUAGCGACAACGGAAUGCAGCCACCGCCUCCCAGAUGGAAAGGCCGGUGUGCGUUCAAUGCAUCGGACUGCAACAACAAGCUCAUCGGCAUAAGAGCUUUCCUCCGUGGCCUCGAUAACGCCACGAUGUCGCCGUACGACGACGGCGGUCACGGGACCCACGUAGCUAGCACUGCGGCGGGCAUGUUCGUGGACAAGGCCGACGUCAACGGCCUCACCAACGGCACCGCCUCCGGAAUUGCACCCUAUGCUCACCUUGCCGUCUAUAAAGUGUGUCAUCAGAAUCGCUGUUCGCUUUCUGAUGUUUUAGCCGGCAUGGACAGCGCCGUACAUGAUGGGGUGGACGUGCUGUCAUUGUCUCUGGGCGGAUUGUCCCUGCCAUUCUAUGACGAUGACCUCGCGAUCGGCGCGCUAGGAGCGGUUGAAAAGGGAGUCUUCGUAAGCUGUGCCGCCGGCAACAACGGGCCGUCAAGCGGCACGACGGAGAACGAGGCGCCCUGGAUUCUGACGGUCGGGGCAAGCACGAUAGACCGAUCCGUCCGGGCAACUGUGGAACUAGGGAACAAUAUUAGUACAUUCUACGGGGAAUCUUUGUACCAGCCGGACAACUUCAGCGCAAUUCCGCUGCCGCUGAUCUAUCCGGGGUUGCGCGGCGGUUUGAAGACACCUUACUGUGUAAGCGGCUCGUUAGACGGUGUCGACGUCCGGGGAAAGAUCAUAGUUUGCGACGCAGGUGCUGUUACGACAGUGGCCAAAGGGCGGGUGGUGAAGGCGGCCGGAGGGCUCGGCAUGAUAGUAGCUUAUCCUCAGGCCGUCGGAUUCAGCACAUUUGAAAAUCCGCACCUGCUUCCUGCAUCAGGGGUUGGUUACACAGAUGGUUUACUCAUCAAAGCAUACGCCAUCACCGCUUUGGCUCCCACGGCAUCGAUCCUCUUCGAGCGCACGAUUGUCGGGAUGAAGCCGGCCCCGGCUCUUGUUUACUUCUCGUCGAGAGGCCCAAAUCAAGCUGACCCUAACAUACUAAAGCCAGACAUCAUUGGCCCAGGGGUAUAUGUUCUCGCCGCGUGGCCGUUCCAAGUCGGAUCGUCGGAUUCAGGAAGCUACUUCAACGUAAUCUCCGGCACGUCUAUGGCGACACCGCACCUCAGCGGAGUAGCCGCUCUUUUGAAGAGCACACAUCCAGAUUGGUCUCCUGCUGCCAUAAAAUCUGCGAUCAUGACGACCGCCACUUUGAUCGGAAAUGACAACAAGCCGAUAGUUGACGAGACACGGGCCCUGCAGAUCUCUUUGGGAUCGGCGCCGGCCACGUAAAUCCUUCGAAAGCAAAUAACCCGGGCCUCAUAUACGACAUCAAAUUCGAAGACUACGUUCGAUAUCUUUGCGGUUUAAACUAUACGAAUUCACAAGUUGCAACUGUUGCUCGUCGCUCAGUCGAUUGUUCUCCACCGUCGGGGCUAUCACCGGACAAAAUCUCAACUAUCCUUCAUUUGUAGUGACCCUGAACGUCGGCAGCAGUUAUGCUUCGCAGGUCUCGCGAACAGUUACGAAUGUGGGAGCGCCGAAUUCAACAUACGCAGUCGAAACCUGGAUUGCAGAUGAAGUGAAGGUGGAAGUGAGACCUGCCCUGCUCUCCUUCUCACGAGCUAAUGAAGAGGCGAAGUACUCCGUCACCUUCACGGGCAAUAGCAACCUCAGUGGAAAGGUUUUCCAGGGUCAUCUUACUUGGGUCUCGACGGACAAAAGUAUUGUGGUUCGUAGUCCUGUGGUGAUUGCUAUCGUGUGAGAUUGUUUAAUAUGUUUUCAUAAAUCUGAAAAUUGUUCGCUUAUAAUGUAAAGCAACAUCAAAUAGCGUGAAUAUCGCGGCCACGAGCGUGCGUUUCUCUCCUCUUCCAUUCUUUUCUAUCCCGCAUUUUUUGGUUACGGCGAUAGCAGGUGUCCCGGCACCGACUUCAUUCUGCAACAACUCGGGCGUAAGAAGUAAACUCAUCACCGACUUUAGUUAACAAUCGUCGGACCAAGGGACACGUACAUUGGGCCGGCCCUCUAACUUGUAGAAUUGCGGCAUGCGGACCUCAAAAUGGCGGUCAUUUGUUUUUAACAGUGAAUUUGGAGUCCGAGCCCAAGUGUAAUAAUGGAUAGGGCCUCCUGAAGCAUCAGACGAAGGGCCAAAUGGGCAUGUCAAGCGUCGGAAAAGGCUUAUUAGGCCGUGAGCCGUGGAAAAAGUCGGGUCGAACCCGGGCAGGAUCCUAGUGAGCCCAAUAUCUAUCAGUGAAAGCCCAUAGUCGGUUGGGCCCGUGACGAACCGCCUUAUUCUCGUCGCUCCCACCUGGCUCGCUCGCUCGCUCUCUCUUUCUCUCACGUUGCAAACCCUAAAUACAUUCUCUCUCUCUCUCUCUCUCUCUCUCUCUCUCUCUCUCUCGCGUAGCCAAAAUGGAGAGCUUGAAGCAGGAAUUUGUGAGAUAAGGAUAAUCGGCUUCUUCGGAUCGCACUGUAAUUUCUCUCUCUUUCUCUUUGUUUGAUCUCGAUGUUUUGGCUUCUGUUCGUAUUUUGUUGUUAGAGUUCUCCGCUUUCGAUUUAUCUGUAGAUGUAUGCAGUUUGUAUGAAGGGAAUCCCCUUUUAUCGAUAAUUUUUUCUUUUUAAUGAUAUAUGUCCUUCCACCUUAUUCAUUUGCUAAUUUUUUUCGUUUUCCCUUUUGGUUGAUGAUGUUGGAUGAUAGCUUCUGAUUCUAAUGUGUUGUGGAACUUGUAAUUGCGUUCGAAUUGGGAUGAAAUGGUAGACGAAUCCUGUGAUUGAGUUUUGAUACAUACUUAAACCGUUAAAAAUUACAGAGAGAGUUGUGGAUAGUUUUCUUGUAAGGCACGAUUACGGACUAUGUAUUUAAGGUGUCUGAACAUGAGAAUCGAUUCAUUGUACAGAAGUUGACCUAUAAAUUUGUCCAAAUUCUUAAGUUCCUUUUUUUUCUCCUUCCCGCUUUGCGGAGCUUGACCACAGGUAGGCUCAGUUCCAAAAGUCCUUAGUUUCAAUAUAUGUAAAAUAGCAUAUGGUAUUGGCGUUUGCGAAAUAAUAAGUGAACUAUCGCCUUCUCCACAAAUUCAUUGCCUUUCCAUAAAUUUAGCAGAAAUCCUGCUCUAUCUUUUGGUUCUUUAUCCGGUAGAAAAUCCUCAAGAGACUAUUUGUCUUCACUGUCCAUAACUCUCUAACAAAGAUCUGCAUUAAUGAAUUGCUUUUAUGGCUAUUAUAAACCUGCAUAUACAGUGUAACUUUUAUACCAGAUUAGGUGUAUCUUCCAAUGGAUCUCCAUUUUCUUAGAGUUAUGGUUUAAUUAAGGAUGUUUAUAAGAUCUGCUUCAAUUAUAUAUUUUCUGUAAAUUAUCUCCUGUUGGACAGAUUGGGCGACCAUAACUCGUUAUGCAGCAUGCCGAUUAAUAUUUAGUGUCUCUUCUUUUUUUUGCCUGUUGCUUAAUGUUUUUUGGCCGUAAUGAAGUCAGUAAUUUUCACAGUAGAUCACUGCUUUACGAAAUGGUAGGUGCUGGUAUCAUGGAUCUUUCUGAUGCACCAUCUCCCCAGAAAUCAGAUUUUAAGCCAUCAUUCCGCAAGCCAUCGAAUGAUAUAGCUAAUAGAAAGUACCGCCGCCAUUCCCCUGCUGCUGGGUCUGAUUCAUCUUCAUCUGGAGGUUAGUAGCCUUGUUCCUUUUCUUAUAGUUUGCCAUAUUUUGUCGUUUGGAUCGGUGGUGGUGCUAUCAAUUGUGGACAAUAGUUUCUACAGUAGCAGUGUGGAGCUAAUCUUCUCUACGUGAUUGAUUAGGUUGAGUUAGUAUGUGAAUUAUAAGUUGAUGUCUAGUAUCCUGAAAUUGUCUUUGCUAGAUCUAUCAAGGUGUUCACAAUGCAAGAACAUUAUCAACACUGAGGCCUCAUUUAGUUAUGCUUGUGAAUUCUUCUCCCUCCCUUUGAAUUCAAAAUCACAGCAAUCGAAUGCUGUGACAGAUGGUGAAUUGUUUAUGAUUGUCAUAUCUUUGUGGAUUGUCUAAGAACAAAGGGCAAAACUUUCUUAGUAAUUCUAUAAUUGAUUCUUACUAUUUUGAAAAAGAUAAGCUUGCAAGCUAAUAACAAUUGACAAGAAUAGAGAAGUCCUUCCGGCCAAUGCAUUCAAUUGCUUGGGAUUUGUGUUUAGGAAUCCCCCCCCGCCCAACCAUCCCCCAAAGGAAAAAGUAGAAUAGCGAAACAAGGCCUGAGGUCAUGGUGAUAACCUAUUCAUUUUCUUUCUUGAUCUAGUUCUUGAAAUUGCGUUGUUGUUGAUUGGUAGUUCUUAUUUUCCCUCUCUAGUGUGCAAAUGGACCCUUUUUUGUUAUAUCACUUACAGACAGUCUGAAGCAUGAGAGGAGCCGUAGUCCCAUUCAUCACAGGAGAGAUCGCCCUCAGAUCUCCGAAGGUCAGCGUAGAAAAGAGGAUGGAAGAGAGACAGAUAAGGAAAGGAGCUAUAAGCAAUCCAGCCGGGCCCACGAAUCUCAAAGACACUUUGACAGGUACGGAGAUUCUCACGAGUCCCGGGCCCAUGAUGAUUACAGCCGGCAUCAUCGUAGGCGUGCUGAUGCGGAUGAAAGGAAUUGCUUAAGAUCUUCUCGUUCUGAGCGAGAAUCAAGAACUGAAACCCGUUCCAAUUAUAGAAGCCGUGUUGAUGACGGUUAUGGAGAGAAACUUAGUAAAAGUAAAGACAGAGAUGUUGACGCUCAGGUACAUCAUAGGUAUAAUGAAAAAGAGACCAAAAAAGCGAACUCAUCCAGAGACAAUGUCAAGAGUGGAGAACGUGACCGGCAUAGAGAGAGGCGAGUUGAAGAAGAAAAAAGAGAUCAUUAUAGGGGUAUUGGGAAAUGGUCAAGUGAAAAUGGCUCCUCCCGAGAGGAAAUUGUUGGGUCUUCUAAGGAAGGUCAGAAGAGUAAAAGUAAGGAAGUUAAUGAGCAGGAGCAUGUGCGCAAGAGAAAGCAAAAUGACAGGGAAAGUGAGUGCUACCUGGAUAGAUCGUCUAACAUGUCUGACAGCCAGCCUUCAGCAGCAAAAGUUAAGCUUGGUUCUGAACACGGUGAGUAUAUUAUCAAGUUUUGUUUUGUUUUGUUUUUUUUUUUUUUUUGUGGACCUUCUUGUGCUUUAUUUUCUUUCUUCCUUUCUUUUCUUUCUUUCCUUUGUGGUGUUGGGCAUGCUCUAAUGUUGAUUAUGUUUUCUUGUUUCAAACUUCAGGAAAUGCUGCAGAUGACAAACCAUCCUCGAGUUCGAAGCAGGUUAUGGAGACAUCAGUCAAAGAAUCUGGGAGCUCAACUGCCAAUCACGUAGGAACUUCAGAGGACCUCAACGCAGCAAAAAUUGCUGCUAUGAAGGCCGCAGAGUUAGGUUGGUACUGUUUGCAUCCAUCUAAGCAUUUUUUAAAGAACACGAAGAUCAACAAAGUGAUAGGAAAGUAGAGUAAAGAAUAGAAAGACUGCUUGCUAUUAAGAUAACUUCUUGACAACCAAAAUGGACAUUUUUUCCCUUUCCCUUUUUUUCCCAUCAUACUGGAUGAUGAAUCUUAAUAGUUUACUAGUUGUCAUGUCCUUUUCUUUACUUUCAAGCUAAUCAUUGUUGUGUUUACAUGGACCGGCCAUGUGCUGCAGUAAAUAAGAACCUUACAGGGUUUGGAGGGGUUGGUGGGGGAGUUGGAUGCUUGUCUACCGACCAGAAGAAAAAACUGCUGUGGGGCAGUAAAAAGAGCAGCUCUACUGAAGAGGUAAAAACACAUCAUCUCUCUGAAUCUAUUUACCCAGUUGCUUUACUAAAUUCUAGAUUAGUGUGUCAUGUUAUGGCCCUCUUUUCUUGUUUAUAUCAAAAUGCAGCAAACUGCUAACCGCUGGGACUUGAAUCUGUUUGCUGAUAGAGAGCGGCAGGAAAAAUUUAACAAACUCAUGGUAAUUUCCUGGCUCCAUCUUUUGCUUUUUCUUCCUAGCAAUAAAAAUGAAAAAAGAAAAAAAAGAAGAAGAAGAAGAAGAAAGAAUGAUUAUCUUAUCACCGUUUAACUGUAUUUUACUUUCAUUUUCUUAUGAACUAAUAAUCUUCAGUUAGUAUUUCGUCCAUUACUAACACCUCUUUUAGAGUCUGAGGUUGCCUUGGUACGUAUGGCCAUUUGUAGGGUGUGAAGGGAAACGUGGACCCCGAGAGCAAGCCGGACAACAAGGAUGGGAGCCUUCAAGCCAAGAAGCGGGAGGAGCUCGACAUGGAUUUGGAGAAGCAAUACACCGCCGGCCUACGCCGGAGAGAUGGUCGUACUGUAGGUCUCGGUCUGUAGUUUUAUUGCUAUUCAUGCUUUUAAACAUUGAACACUAUGGGCACAUGGUUUUGGGCCAGGAGCUUCUUGUAUUUACACCCUUUUGUUGCAUGGAGAAUAUGUGGUUGCUUUGGAAACCUUUUGUAAAUGUGCCUGGUUAUUCCAAGGGCCCGCAGAGUCAGGGCCACUCUGGCCAUGGUCCCAGAAACAUCGUCAACUUGGUUCAUGCAUCUGAGCUUAUGCCGUUUUGGGUACCCCUUAUUCUGUUGUCGGGAGUUGGUGUGCAUUACUAGUUUCUGAAGUUUUAGUCAAACUUAAUUUGGUUUUCUUAACUUUUAAAUCGGAUAUUUGACAUUCCGACUUUUGAAAUCGAUUUGCUUUGAUCCUUGCCCUCGCCUGUUGGUAGAGGAAAAAUAACUGGUUGCAUCUAGUGCAUUCCUUUGUGCCAGCGUCAUGAUUCAUCGAUUUUUAAUCUAUCUUUUAUCUAGAAGUCAAUUAGUCGAACUCUUUUUUGAGAGGAAGGGCUUGAUAUAUUAACAAAGGGUUAUGGUAUAUUAUGUUGAGCUUAUAAAUUCUUUCACAAAAUGAAAACCUUACUUUAGAAGUGCGGAAUUUGUUGUGCAAUUUUCUGUUCCAGCGCCAGUAGCUCCCGAGAAGUUCAGGUCUUGUAAAGCUUAGUUCCUCCUAGUAGUACAUGAUUUGUAGCUGAUUAUUAUCUAUCUAAUUUGUUGAUGCCACUAGUUCGGAUUGCGGUGGGCACUGUAGAGUAACCUUCCCAGUUCGGGUAGGGCUUAUCCACUUCGGUAGUUGUCUUAUCUGGAAAGGGAAAUUGCAUUGCUGACUAAAUUGUUAGACGUUUUGUGGUUUUGCGCACCAACCAUUCAUCAGACAUAAUAUAUUAUAUAUAUAUAUAUAUAUAUAUAUAUAGAGUUGAGCUAUGAUACUUUUACAAGUAUCACCAUCAUGGUGCUAUUAGUUUUUUAGCCAUUGGAUCACUUUUUUGAUUACAAAUAGCCCGUUGGAUCAAAUACUAUUCCACCUACGCAUCACCUACCACCACCUACCCCAUCAUCUCAACCUCACAUCUCUCCAUCCAAGGGCUAAAAACACACAAGUAUUCACUUGGGUGAUACUUUUACAAGUAUUCUAGCCCUACUCUAUAUAUAUAUAUAUAUAUAUAUAUAUAAUAUAUAUAUAUAUAUAGGCUAUGGCUAUUAUACUAUUAUGAGUAUAUGAGUAUUGGAGCCCUACUACUCAUAAGUUAUUUUCGAUAGAGUUGAGCUAGAAUACUAUCGAUAGCAAAUGGACUCCGUUCCACCCAUUUGUUUUCGAUGAUAGAGCCUCCAAAUCGACGAUCAGCAUCGUUGAACAUGAUCGAUGCCACUCGAAGUGUUUAGAAAUCAAAUUUCCAAAUCUUUUCGACAUCAUAUUGUCUAAUGAUCAAAGGGUUUCAAAAUUUGUAAUUUUUAUGGUCGAUAUGAGAAUGUUUUUUCGUUUAAUGGCGUAAAGAUAUCAAAUUAAUUGAAUUUUUGUUUUAGAAAAUUUUUUAAACUUUAAACAAGAUCUAUUACUCUUGAUCUUGUUACAAGACUCCUAUCAUCAUAUUUUUAAAGAAUAUUCAUUUUUGGCCGUUUAUUUUUGUGUUCACUCGAUGGAUAAAAAACAAUAUUAAAAAUGUAUGAAAUUUGAUUUCUAAAUAUUUUAAGUGGUAUAGAUCUAUUCAACGAUGCCGAUCGUCGAUUUGGAGCUCCAUCAUCGAAAACAAAUGGGUGGCAACAGAGCCUGUUGCUAUCGAUAGUAUUCUAGCUCAACUCUAUAUAUUAUAUAUCUAUACUAUAUAUAAAAGCACGUAUAUUCAAAUUUGGGUAUUGUCGACAGACUCAUUUUCGUGCGGAAAAAUUAGCGCCCAUUUUCUCUUUCCGUACGAAAAAUUUUAAAUAUAAGAAUAAAAAUAGAAUAGAAACAGCAAUGAUACGUAAGUUCUCUAUAACAGAUUAUUGAAUGUGAAAAUUCUAAAAUAUAAAUUUCUAUUUUAAUUUCAAAAAGUAAGUUUUCUAUAACGAUUACGGGUGUGAAAAUCCUAUAAAGAUAUUUUUCUAUUUAUUUUAAAAUAUCUUUUUUAGAUUAUUAUCUAUUUAAUUUCAAAAUAAUUUUCUUUGUAAGAUAACGGUAUUUAUUUUUCUAUUUAAUUCAAAAAUUUAUUUCCUAACAGAUUUUAUUUUUCUAUUAAUUUCAAAAUAAUUUUUGUAUUAGAGAUAUUGUUAAAUUAUUAUCAUUUAAAGCAUAUCUUUCUAAUAGCGUGAUUUAUUAUUUUAAAUUUUUAGAUACAUAUUUGACAAUCAUAUAAAAUAUGGCCUAAAAUUAAAAAUAAUUUUAAAAAAAUUAUAAAUUUUCUAAUAAUUAUUACGUGCAUUUGCACGUACAUUUUACUAGUAUAUAUAUAUAUAUAUAUAUAUAUAUUGUGCGGCUAGGAUGCUUAUGGAAGCACGGAGGGCUCCGUGCUUCUACUUUGUUUUCGAUUGUUCGGACUUUCGAAUCGACGAUCGGCUCCGUCAGACUUGAAUCUAGAGUAUUUGAAGUAUUUAGAAAAUAAAUUUAGGCGAUUUUUCGAUAUCAUUUGCUAGUGAUCGAAGUGGCUCAAAAUCAACGGCUGAAAUAAAAAAUCUUACAAAAUAUGAAUGAUAUGACAUUAAAAUUUUAGAUCAAAAUUAUUGACUUGUUUUAUAUGGUAUAAAGAGAUUUUCUAUCAAAAUCUCAUGUGAUUUGAUAUUUCUACACCUUUAAACUUGCAACCGGCUCACUUACGGCCAUUAAAAUUAUUGAUUUUGAACUCCUUCGAUCACUAGGCAAACGAUAUCGAAAAUCAACAAAAUUUAUUUUUUAAUAUUCAAAUCUCUAGAUCAACUCUAACGGAGCGAUCGUCGAUUCGAAAGUCCGAAAUAUGAAAACAACUUGAAGCACGGAGGGUCCAUGCUUCCAUAAGCGUUACAGCCAACUAUAAUAUUAUAUAUAUAAUAUAUAUAUAAUAUAUAUAUAUAUAUAUAAUAUAUAUAUUAUAUAAUAUAUAAGCGUAUAGAAAUUCGAAAUGACAGACGGAAUCCAAAAAGAAUAAAAUAAUAUUCCCUACGAAUGAUUAUGAUUAAUUGUUAAAAAUAUCUCAAAUAAAAAUUAACGGUUAUGAUCAUCUAUUAAAUAUAAAAUAAUAUUUUCUACGAAUGAUUAUGAUUAAUUUGUUAAAAAUAUGUUAAAUAAAAACGAACGGUUAUGAUCAUCUAUUAAAUUUCUACUACAUAUAAAAAUCUAUUCCCUAAUAAAUGGUUAUGAUCAAUUUGUUAAAAAAUAUCUCAAAUAAGAACAGUUAUAAUUAAUUCUAAAAAAAAUAGCAUUUGCAUGCAUCUGUAAAUUCAAUCCUAGAACGAUAUAAUCAUUUGUUAAAAAAUAUCUCAAUUAAAACAAAUGGUUAUGAUCAAUUUGUUUAAAAAAGCAUUUCUAUUAAUUUAAUUUUACAUUAAAAUUAAAUUGAGUUAUAAUUAUAAAUUUAAUUUAAUUUUUAGAUAUCAAAUUGAAUUAAAUUAAUUUUUUUGUUACAGUGGAUCAAAAUUUAAUUUAAAUUUUAAAUUAAAUGUGAAUUAAAUUUUGAUGCUUUUUAGUUUAAAAACACAUAUUUAAAUUUGAUUCAUCAAAAAUCAAAAGUAAUAUAAAAUAUUCGAUGUAUAUAAAUAAAAGCAAGCACGGUAGAAUUAUAAAUAUUUUCUAAUAAAAUAUAACACAUUAAUUUAUAAAUAUAAUAUUUUAUUGUAAAAUUUUGGAUAUUAUAUAAUGUACAAAUUAUAUUGAUUUGAAAUAAAUUAUAAUAAUUUGUUACGUGCAUUUGCCACGAUACAUUCAACUAGUAUAUAUAUAUAUAUAUAUAUAUAUAUAUAUAUAUAUAUAUUAAUGUAAUGCUAAUAUAUGUAUUAACAACUUCAUGUAAUAGUUUCGAAAGAGCAAUGCACAUGAAUUAGAUAAAAAAAGUAUUAAUUAAGAACUGAAUCUAAUGACAAGCUAAGGAGUCAGUCAAAAAGGAGUGACGGCCCACGGAUGAUUUAGUUUGCAGGGCGGCGUGCCCGUUACGACUUACGACCCCAACGGUCGUGAUUUCACCGGACUUUGCCCACGUUACUGGUAAUAAUGUCCAUGUUUUUCCGCCUGCCUUUGUAUCUUCUUCUUAGAUUGCAUAAAUCCGCUCCCACCCUCUUCCUCUCUCUCUCCUCUCUUAUUGAGAAAGUGAUAUAUACAGAGACGGAGAGAGCUCCUCCUCUUGUUUUUUUUGUUUUUUUUUUUUUUUUUUUUUUUUUUUUUUUUGUUUGGGUUUUGGUUCGUCCCUCGCGUCUUGGUCCCUACCAAGUACCAACUCCCCACGUCCCCAUCUCACACUCGCCGACCACCGUCCCCACUCCCCUCCCAACGCCAACAGCUCCUCCCCACAAAUACAGUUGUCACCGCACGUGCGCCAUGGCGUCCGCGCCACGCACAACCUCGCCACACGUGCGCCACCCCCCCCCUCCUCCAAAACCCUUCUCCCUCGCUAGCCCACUACGUUACUGCUCUUUCCCUUCUCGUAAUUAAAUCUGCCCCCUCCAUCCUCCCCGUCGGUUUCUCUUCUUGCCCCCAUUCUCCUCUCUUAUUUAUUGGCCAUUUAUUAACCCUCCCCAAGACCAACCCUACACACACACUGAGACCAACCCCAAAAAAUAAAAAAUAAAAAAUAAAAGAUAAGGAAAAGCAGUGGGAAAAAUAGAAGAGAAUUCGCUUAUUCUUUCCGAACGAUCAGGGGGAAUUUAUUUAUUUAGGGUUUAUUCUGGGAAAGCUCGGCUUCUGCUUUUUGUGUCUUGUAAGGUUUAAUGAUUUGAAAGAGGAGAGCGAGGGGGUGGAGAAAGUAAGAUGGAGGCACUUAAGAAGCAGGCGAGUAAGCUGAGAGAGCAAGUGGCCAAGCAGCAACAGGUGAUCUCAAUUCCCUUUUAAUUACUGUUAUUUUCUCCCUUUUUCUUUGGUUUUUUUUUUUAAAAAAAAUUAAUUUGGAUAUUGUGAUGGGCCUCGGUUCUGAUGUAGUUACGUGGGAAUUUUGUUGAUGGUUAGAUCAUUUGAUGCGUUCCUCAUAUGUCUUGGUUUAGUAAAGGGACAUUAGUGUUACUCUCCUGUGGCUUUGUUUCGAACACACGUAUGUGGGGACUGGGGAGUACCUUUAUAUUAGGGGAAUUACGAAGUUUUUUUACCACUUGUAAGGAUGCAUCUUCUUAAAUUUUUGGCAUACUUCGGUAUAAUUUUCCCCAAGAACUUGAGAUAUUCGCCCUUGAUUAGAUUCCUAGACCUUAUAUCCAUCCACCUAAAAGACAAACCCUUCCUUUUACCGCCUUAAGCACUAGUGGAUAAAACAGUGGGUUAAAAAAGAAGUGUUGGUUCUUUUUGAAACUAUGGAAUUUUGAUCAGCUGUGCUUUACUCAUCUUUUUAUAUGAUCUUGUACGCUCGGAAAUCCAGCUUGCAUGAGUGCUUCCUUUUGCACUGUGAAGUUGUUCAUGGCAAUUAGCUAAUCAUUUCAUCUAUCCCGAGGAGGCAACGCGCAAAUUAUCCACUUCCAGCGGAUUUAAUUUGUUUGCAGGCGCCGAUUGCUUCUUGGUGUAGCCAUAGUAGACGUAAGCCGGAGAACAGAGCGAGCGAGGCAAGAGGAGAGUAGAGCCGUAAGAAUAAGAUGUGUAGGACGGCUGAGGGGGGCAUUGGUUAAUAGCGAUAUCACAUUUGACUAGAUAGUUUUGCAGUUCUUUCGAUGUUUGACUAGAUAGUACAUCUUUGUUUUGCCGUUCUUACACAUAGAUUUUCUUUAAAUAUUGUGCAGGCAGUUUUAAAGCAAUUUAGCGGACGCUUUGGCCAUGAUACUGGUCUUAUUGAUGAAUCUGAGCUUCAGUGCCACCAAAAUCUUCAGAAACUGUAUAACACUACAAAAGCUGCAAAGGUACUUGUUUGUCACAAAUGUUUAUGAGAUUAAUCAGUUGUGCUUGUUGAUGUACCGAUUGUAUAUUUUGCUUGAACUUGUUAAUCUUAUAGCAUCUUCAACGAAAUAUUGUACGAGGUGUAGAAGGUUUUAUCGCUGCUAGCACAAAGCAAAUGGAAAUAGGUAACUUGUUUUGUUUGAUCUUCAGUAAAGUUAAUUUGAUGUCCUUUAUUCUUGAUAUAACUUUGCUCUACAUUUUCUAGUGAAAAGAUUGGCCGAAGAUUGUUGCAAGUAUGGAAGCGAAUAUCAAAGUUUUGGUUUCGCUCUGGCGAGGGCUUCUCUUGACUUUGGCACUUCGCAUAGUUUGAUGGAAAAAGAGAGGGAGAGUCUUCUUAGAGCUCUCGGGGAUCAGGUUGUAAAUUGUAAUGUACCUUAUACUCAUUUAAUCCUGAAUAAUAGCACAGGCGACUGUCGUUCUACAAAUCAUAGAGAGUACCUAAAUUUUUUUUGCACUUCAAAUCACAAUAACUAACAUAAAAUUAAUCCACAGUAUGUUUCAUAUGAGAUUGGGAAAAUGACAUUUGGUGUUCAUAAGAUAACGUCCUUGUGCAUUUUCAUAUCUCAUGAUUCAUGAAUUUCCAAAUUUAUGAUGUCAAUUUUAAAUUCUGGCUAUACUUUGUAUGAGCCAUCUGAUUUUUGCCAAUUAGGAGAUGAUUGAUGAUCACAGAUUCAAGUUUUCACUUGUCUUUUAUUCAAUCUAUCAUUACCUCCCUUUCUUCAGUAUUCCGGUCUUCUAACUUUUGAAUUAUCUCACAGGUUUUUGAACCUUUACGAGCAAUGAUAAUGAGCGCUCCUUUAGAAGAUGCUCGCCUAUUAACUUACCGUUACGAACGGAUUAGGCAGGAUCUGGAAUCUCAGGUAAUACUUUGGUGAUAGGUUGAUGUUCUAUGGAAACCUCAACACAUAAAUAAAUUAUCCACUAUGUGCUUAGACAGCUGAGGUGUUGAGACGAAGGUUGAAGUCCAACGAAGUCGGUGCUAAUGCAGAGAGUGCUGCGAAACUACAAAAUGCAGAAUCAAAAUUAUCUGAACUUCAAAAUACAUUGUCAGCAUUAGGCAGAGAAGCAACUGUUGCUAUGGUGGCAGUUGAGACUCAGCAACAGCAGACUACUUUUGAACGACUUCUUGCAAUGGUGAUGUUUGUUUCUUUAAUGUGUUUCAAUAAAUUAUAUUACAAGUCAUGAUAAUUUGUUUUUUUUGUUGCAUAUUUAGCCCUAGAAAUAUGUGCAAUUGCUAAAUACCCCAAUAUUGGCAGUUGGAUGCGUGUCCCCGAAAACUAUAUUUAUUUGUAUUCAUGUCCUGUAACGGUAUAUUUGCAAAAUUCAAUUUUUAUAGAUAUCCCAGCAGGGCAUGUGUGAAAAUAAGCAGGUUUCCAGGGGUACUUGCACAAUUUUGCACAUUUUCAGGGGUGCAUAUGCAUGAAACCCUACUUUUCUAUUAUGUUUUGCUUUCUUCCUCUAAUCUGUGUUCAACUUUAGUUAAUUUUCUUUUUCCCUUUGUAUUCUCCUCUCCCCACAUGCUUUUGUUGCAUCCGGACUUCAAUAUAGGAAUAUUCUACUUGACUUAUUCACCGGCUUACUUUCCAGGUUGAUGCUGAGAGAGCUUAUCAUCAGAAUGUUGCUGAUAUUUUAGAGAAACUCCAUCAUGAGGUAUGCAUGCUUAUUAGCAUAUGCAUUACAGUUGCAGUAGAACAGAAAGCAUGACCAGAAUUCUAAAAAUGAAAAUUCUUCUUUUACUGGUGAUGGUAAAAUAGUAUCCAUGUUUUUCAUAGAUGGUCCGAGCAAAGCAGAGUAAUGGGCCAUUUUCACAAUCAACAGCAGCUGAGACCAAUGUGCGGACACAGAGUGUGAACGAGGAUCCCAGGCCUAGCAAAUCUGAUGAUCUCGCUAGGAAUGGCCCGCCUAAUAUGUAUUUUGUUGCUGAGGUACGUUCCUAAAUGGUAAGCUUAUUGAGCUUUUCUUUCUGACUUCCGUUUGACCUUUUAUUUCCUAAACGUAUGUACUCUUUCCUCCUCAGCAUGUGUCUGCGCACAGGGAUGGAUAUUAUGUAUUUGUUUAGCUCUGUAGCUAUUGCUUAACUACCAUAACUAUGUUUUAAUGUAAUAGAGUGAUGCCCCUUUUUCUGUCCUCUGUAAUAUCGGAUCGUGUUUUUAAGGCUAUAAUUUCUUCAAAUUCUAGUAAAUAUUUUCCAGAUAAGUGGUUUAUCAACUUACAUUUAGAAAUUUAAAAUCAAUUACAGUACUGCUAAUAACUCCUGUAAUGUGCAAUUAAUCGUUUGGCUUCAGGAGUUUCCUUUCAGUAAUCUUAAUACAAAGUGUCACAUUUUCAUAUUUUAAGUUCCCUCUUUCAUUGAAAAUUCCAUAUUACUUUUUCUGAACUUACACAAUUUGUUUCUAGUUGUUUAGCAGGACUCAUACCAACUGGCAUUCAGUUCCUAGGGUCAUUUUCCCCUUCUUGUUAGUCAGUAGUGAGAAUGUUGAAUGUUGUGUUGGUAUUGCACCCUUAUGGCUUGAAUGGUUGAAUCAAAGUUAGAGCAGCUACCAUUUUGCAGUGCUUCUUUGGAGCCUUCUUACACUCGACUUCCUAUUAGCAAGUACCAUAUUUAUUGUGUGUUUCUACAGUCCUCUUUAAGGUUUAAACUAUCUCUUGGAUUUUGAUGUAGAAUGCUGGCUUAUAUCGAAUCCUGAGGUGUUAUUGUACAGUUCGUUUUCACAUACUUGAUUGAAUUAAUUUAGAUGCUGAAUAUUAGGAUCUGUAGGAUCUGUCAAUUGAAUCUUAAAUCUUAAUUCAGAAUCCCUAGGAGGAAUUUCACUUUUACAUGACUAGGAAAUCUUUUAGAGUAGGGAAUAAGAGAUUCUAAUAUCGGGGUUAAUUACGAACUAGUUUGACUUCAGUGGGAAAGAGUGGCAGGAAUUACAGUGAUGACUUUAUGGCUGUCUGGAAUUUGCCAUAUGACUGGCCUCAUUCCAGCCUUAUGCUUUGAUCAGCCUAUGAGAUUCGAAAGUUCUAUCCGGCUUGCAAUGUUACAACAAUGUAAAGUUGAUUUCUUGAACUUAUUUCAUUUUGUCAUGCAGGUUAUUCAUCCAUUUGAUGCUCAGGCUGAUGGCGAGCUCAGUAUAUCAGUAGGCGAUUAUGUUGUGGUCCGCCAGGUACAUGAAGAGGUCAUAUAACUUGCUUACCACGACCCGCUAGUAAAUCUACUAUUUUUAUGUUUAAGUCUACUAUUUUUAUGUUGCUUCUUACCCGUCUACUAUUUUUAUGUUGCUUCUUACCCAGUACCGUGCAAUACAGUUUUGCUAUAUUGCUGAAUUUUUGUGGCGCACUAUGUGAUGGCUGGUGCUGCAUUGAUACUCUGUGAUAGUUACACUAAAUACAUGGAAUGGAAACAAAAAGAAGUCUCAGGAGUGACGAAUAAAAUUUUGAAGUCCUCAAAGAAUGCAUAGCCGCGCUUAGUGAUAUGUAAAACUUAACACAUGUAGCAUGUGACGAAGGCUAGUUGAGUCUGUUGAAUUCCGCUACUUAAAUCUUAACAUGAAACUCGAAGCAAAUGUUGAGGAAGAAUUUCAUGUUCUUCGUAUAUAAAUUAAGCUCAUGCAAGAACUUGCAAGCUCUACUAGAUGCUGCUUGAAUGAAUCUUUCUUGAUGAGAGAGAAAUAAAUGAUAUGAGAUUGAAAAAUAAUAGCUACCUCACAACAUGGUAGUGACCUAGCACUGUGAAAACAAAGGCUGCUGGGAUUUCAUAAGCGCUUGGCGAGCAACUUUGUAAAACUGCACCGCAAAUACAACACGUAAAGAAAUAUACUCUAUUUCUCAUGAUCGAGACAUAAUGAGUCUUACCUGUUACCCAUUCUGCUUUGCAGGUAGCACCAAAUGGAUGGUCCGAAGGUGAAUGCAAGGGAAAGGCCGGCUGGUUCCCAUCCGCUUAUAUUGAGCGGAGGGAUAAAGCCCCGGCAAGCAAGAUUAUUGAACCCCACCUGUUGCUCGCUUGAUCUUCUUCUUCUCAUCUUUUCCUUGCUUUUCCCACUAUACGCUCUACUGUACAUUUGUGACCUUAAUUCUUCAAGCGACUCUCUUCCAACUUUACACAGGUAAAGGACUCUCGCAAUGUGAAAAAUCUACCCUUUUUUGUGUUCUGUAAGUUGUGUAGGUGUAUGUAGUUGUAUCUAUUUUUAUGUUUGUUUGUUGUAAGUGAAUCUCAAGGCCUCUUCGUAUUGACCAAUUUAUUAUAUAGCUUUCUUCUUCUUCUUUUUUCUCUGUGUUUUUUUUUGUCCUUUCAUAUGCAACAAAGCUUGCCUACAAUAUGAAGGUGGGCUUAGCAGAUCAGAUGACUCACCAAAGCAUACGAAGCAUGUGUUGCUGCUUCAUCUUCUAUGUUCUUUUUCUUGUUUCUCCUGCAACCUGUUAUAUUUUUUGUUUCUGAAAUUCUGAACAUUUUGCGAGUAAUAAAUAUUUGCUUCAUGUUGUCGUUGUAGUAAAUCAAAAUUGACAACAGAAUAUGAUCUCAGACGUUAGUGUAAAUAAAACGAAAAUCAAAGUUUAGCAUAAUGAUAGUUUCCAGAAGUAAAUUUAAAAUGAAAUAGAAGGUGAUAUAAAGCUACCGCGUAGGUUGCAACCUGAUUGUAGCAUUUUUCUGCGACAUGCUCGUCCCAGCUAACGUUUUUACAAAACCCUUGUCCAAGUAGGGAAAAACAGAAGGGUAUCGUCCCAUGUAGAUAGAUAUGGGAAUUAGUGCUCUUGAUAAGCCAACUGACUCAAAAUUUGAGAGCGAGAACGGUUACCUAAAAAAAAUAUACAUCCCAACUGCUUAAUUUUGGAAAAUUUUAAAGUAAAAUAACUUUUAUAAGGUGAUCGAUCAAAUUACAUUAUCCGUCAAGUGACAUAUUUAAAUUUUAAAAUAAAAAAAAAAAUUGGUGAAUUUUUUUGAUCCGAUCACAGGGACCUGCCCCAUUAAAUUUUGGUUCGGAUGACACGCUUGAUCUAUCUGUGGAUCUGGCCCGUGCGAUGGUCCAUGGAUCUACAGACUGCGAGCGUCGGCCGCACGUGAGAAGCGUCGCGUCCUCGACACUCCCCACAUCACUCGCCCCAUUGGUCCUGGUGACGACCCCCCAUCUAUUCCCCAGCGCGUCCACGGUCCACCCCUCUCCCCGUUCCCCUCUCACACUCACCUCUCUCUCUCUCUCUCGCUCUCACUCUCUCUCUCCUCUGCCACCGCUCCCCCAGCUCACCCCAAAAUCUAGGGUUUGUUCCGCCUCUCUGUAUCUCUGCAUCGCUCUCCUCCUCCCGAUUAUUAGGGUUUUGAUUCGGCAUUUGCUCGAAUUGCUCUGGAAAUCGAUCGAAAGGUACAAUGCAGUGUUCCUCCUCCAACGGUUCUUUCUUUUCUUGUUUUUGUUUUGCUUCUCCCCCUCCGAGCAAGUGAGUAAUCAGCGAUAAAGGCCGAAGUCCUUCCUUUUUUCGGGUUGUUAGUUGGAAAUUUCAUCUCUGUAACUGUGAUCUAUUCCUCGCGUUGUUGUACGGGUAAGAUCUGUGCUACGUAGUGGGUGCAAAUCGCUCGGUGGUUUUCAUUGUUGCCUCGUCUCUUAAUGUCGAUUGUAGUGAAUUCUUCUUCGUUUGUUCUAGUUAUGAAGGCGUUGUGUUGAACUAGAGUGGUAAUUUAUCCGUUGAUGUUAUUUUUAGUGGUUAUCGGCCAGCGAUAUGACUGCAUGAUGGAGAAUGGAGUAUUUGGGGAAGCAUGCCUGUAAGCGUUUCUCAGCUAAGUCUGUUUGGAGAUUCGCGAAGAAAAGAAGAGAUAUCCGCGAAUCGUGUGUUGGAUGUUCGUUUUCUGUUUGUGUUGACGCAUUAAAGUCUUGUUUAUUAUGUUAUGUGGAUGGAUUAGGAGUAUGAUUAGAUUGUACCGGAACCCUUAAUUUUGUUGCAGGGGCAUUGCUGCCUAUGUAAAGGUUAUGUAUGUAAUACAAAAUUUUAUGAUUCUUCUUGUGCGGUCCUAAUUUUCUGUGUGUUGAGGAUUAAAAUAUUGCCAGUUCUUUCACUCACUGAAUUUACAUUGUUUCCAGGUGUCUGUGCUGACUCUGCUUGUGGAGGUUAUGUACGUAAUGGUGCUUGUGGCUAUGCGCUAUUCAAAUGGUGUGUAGAUCUAUCACAGAGAACUAUGUGCAUCAUGCAGCACAUCAAGGUUUCAGGGGAUGGGUCAGUGUAAUCUUAUGAUGCAUGGCAAGCUUAUCGAUGGGCUCAUUUUCAAUAAAAUGGCAGAGACUUCUGCUUCUGCUGACUGUGCUAAUGCUUGUCAAACUUGAGACAACUGCUUUAAAUUCAGAAGGUAUGCAAUUGUUCUAUAUUUCAUUAUUCUCUAUCUUCGUCUGUGCAAUUUAAUGUCAUGAUUCUGAGAAUGAUCUCUUGCAGGUAAUGCACUUCUUAGUUUUAAAACAUCUAUUGUCGGUUCGGACGGUGUCUUUUUAAAUUGGCAACAAGAAGAUUCUGAUCCUUGUGGCUGGAAAGGUGUGAAAUGUGACAGCCACGCAAAGAGUGUAAUUUAUCUGUAAGUAAACCAGAAGAAUCUUUAAGCAAAGUGCAAUGAACUUGUCUGUGGAGUGGUGUUAUCUUUUUUGAGUUUGUUGUACUUCAAUGUCCCUGCUACUGUUUUAGUAGUGGAGUCAUUUUCUUUGGGGUAAAUUUUGUUUGAUCUCCUUGAACUAUGAGUUAAAUUUCUUAUAGGCCCCUAAACUUCAAUUCAUUUUGUGACGCAAACUGCGCUAGGUUAUUUAACAAAGUACUAAUCCUUUCAGCUUCCAUAAGAAUCGAUAUAAUUUUGAUUCAUCAUCACAAUUAUUUGAAACUCGAUUAUCUUCCCAAUGUUAUAAUGUGGGGUUGGAUUUUUAUUUGAAAUUGUCAAGUCAGGCUUCUUAUAAAUCUUGGACUUGUACCUUUUUAUCUAGUAAGCCAAAUUAAAUCUUAGUUAAGAUGUUACAGACUCUACCUUUAAGUUCAUGGGAUUUCUUUUCAACCUUGUGCUACUCGAUUGAAACACAAAAUGAAGUUUGAGGCAUAUUUGAGAUGAAUUGAUUCUGGCCGAAAAGUGAACUUUGGUCCAUAGUUAAAGGACUUUCUCUUUUUUACAUGCAGCUGUCUCUUUUAUACCACCUUUCAAAAUUCAAAGCAUGGUAUAAUUUAGCAAUUAGUUGUCUUACUCUUAUCAUUUGAGUUAAAUUAUCAGGGGCACUUUCUUUUUAAUUUUUCCUCCAAGAUUUCCCUUAUCUAAAAUAGUCUGACAAUUGGUUCAACUGGAACCACAUUUGGAGUCUUGAGGUGUACGGUAUACAAACAAUUAGGACGUAUUGUUCUUUGUUAGUUGGUCAACGUUUGGACUGUGUAAUUACACUCAUCAACUAAAAUCUGCUCUUUCUGUUCACAAUUGAUGGCGAUCAAUGCUAAUAAUUGUUUUUUUUAAGAUUAUUAUGACACUAUAUAUUUCAGGAGUCUAGCAAAUCACAAGUUGGUUGGGUCGAUACCACCGGAUAUUGGACAGCUAAAUCACUUACAAUUAUUGUAAGAAUUUUUCCAAAAAGUUUGUAUUUGCUUGUUUUUCUGGCUAGUUAUGUCAUUUCACAAUUCUAUAUUAUCUUAUUUCUAGAUGUUAUAUGCUUUUCUAGAGCACUUCAGGCAAACAGUUUAUAUGGAACCAUCCCUCGGGAGCUUGGGAAUUGCACCGAGUUGCAAUAUCUGUAAGUUUUCUCUUCGUGUGUUGAAAGCUGGUGGAACCUAUUCUUUUUUUCCAUCAGCUUCAUCCCCCUGAAAUUGCAAGUAACACUAGCUCUUUAUCUAAUACUGUUAUCAUUACCUAUACAGCCUUAAAAGUGAUUACUCUAGUUUCUAAAGUCAUGUGUUUCUAUGAUUUUAGGCUUUGUUGUCAUCACUGCUGUUUCCUUUUCUAGUUCUUUAAGCAGUUAUUUUUAGCCUCUCCUGUAUAUAAUUUGCCAUUGUAUUAAGUUAACAUCAUCUUGCAGACAUAGCUAAUAUUAUCGAAUUUGCUUGUAGAUAUUUACAGGGGAAUUACUUGAGUGGAUUUAUACCCCCGGAAUUUGGUAACCUUGUGGGACUCGAGACAUUGUGAGUUUACAUUUUAAAUUUUUUCUAUUUGGAUUCUUGCACUAUUUAUUAUGGAUUGGUUGACAUGCUAUAGCUUUUAAUGCAUAAUUAGCUUGCUUUCUAUUUGUCAUUUCUUCUAUUUUGUUAGGGAUUUGUCGAGCAAUACAUUGAGUGGAUUUAUUCCUCCAUCUCUUGACAAGCUGACCAAAUUAAUGUCAUUGUGAGUAUCUUGUGUUGCUCCUGUGUACCUCUGAUACUAUUGCAUCUUGCCUUUUACCACUAAAUGCUAAUAUUUCUUGUCUGCGACAUUUUGUGCAGUAAUGUAUCAAUGAACUUUUUAACAGGAGCAAUACCAUCUGAUGGUGCACUCUCUAAUUUUAAUGGGACUUCGUAAGUGAUGUUUGUCUCUCUUCAGUAUGAUGUAUAAGAUUACCUAUAUGACUAGCUACGUACGACAAAUUAACAUUACAUGCUCACUUUCUAAAGCCUUUUGUGUUAAUUUGGUUGCUGUCUUAUUUUCAUGCGCAUGCUGCAUCCUACUGUUAGAGCUAAUGGUUUGGGCCAUAAGGUCAUUUUAUCUUUUCUCCUCUUUGAUUCUAAUUCAAGAUUCUUGUGCUUUAUCUUGGUUCUUAAGAACAUGGAAAGGUACAAAUGUAUUCAAGAAGAAGAGGUUUGCCUUUCAGUGUUGCAAACUUGCAAUACAUGCCCAUAAUAUAAAUUGUAGAGAAGUAGCAUGGUCUAAAGUUGAACCAAGUUUUAAUUGCAAAUUUGCUGGAAAAAUGGCUAGAAGGUUUACAAUACAAAGUUGAGCAGCAAAAUUUAGGGAAUUUUCUGUUAUUUCAUUUAUGUGGAACAUGCCUUCAUUGCUGACAAUUUGAUCGCCUCCUAUCUUUUCCUCACUACCAGUAGUAAAAGAAUGAAGUUUCCAUAUUGAUUAUUGCACAAUUAUGUUGACCUCCUUUCUAUAAUCAAAGCUCUUCAGGGAACAAUAUGCCAUUAAGGCAAUGUUGCUUUCUCAUUCUAAUGGAUAUUUGAGUCUAGAAUUAUGAAAGUUCAAUGUUCAUGCCUGCAGCUUCAUUGGGAAUCGUGGCUUAUGUGGGAAGCAAAUCGAAGUUGAGUGCAAGGAUGAUAAUCAGUCACCAUCAAGAGAUCCUCAGCAACCUUCCUCUGGUAGUUGGAACUUAGAUUGUAUUAUAUGUUUUUCUUACUUCGCUUUCGCUGAUAAAAUGUAUGAUAAUUUUGUCCAUUGAGGUUGACCUGACUUUUGAAGUUUGUUCCGAUAUAAACUAUUAUAAACUUUUAAAUGAACUGGUUUUCCAUGUGGUGGAUGAAUUAUCUUUUGCUAUCAUAAUUGAAUAGCUUUCUGGGUAUGAGAUAUGCAUGUUAUUUGCUUAUUCUCUCUAAACUUCUGCUGAAUUUUUCUCGGAAGACAAACUCUAGAGAUUCUGUUUAUAACGAUGCACUGCAUGCCAAUGUGCGAAGGAGCAAAAGACCACCUAGAUAUUUCAUCAAUAAGUUUGAGCAGAUAUCCUAACUUCUAGGCGCACUUACAUAUUAUUGAAUGAAUAUGCUUAAGCACCUCUCACAUGCUUGAACUCAUUUGUUUAAGUGCCUUCAUCAGUUAUUUUUUUGUUUUGCCAUCAAGCUAAACGUAACUGGUGAAUGUCAAUGCAGGAAACUUAGUUUAUAGAAAGCCUGGAAAAAAUUCUACUAGGCUUGUUAUCAGUGCUGUGGCAACAGUAGGAGCUCUGUUGUUGGUGGCAUUGAUGUGCUUCUGGGGCUGCUUUCUUUACAAAAAGUUUGGCAAAAGUGAUGUUCGUUGUCUCGGCAUGGAUGUUAGUGGAGGUACCUUGCUCGAAAUACCUGAAGUCAUGUGCCUUUUUCCCCUCUUGACUUCGUAGUAUAUUGUAACACUAAUUAUAUUUCAGGUGCAUCGAUAGUAAUGUUUCACGGGGACUUGCCCUACUCAUCAAAAGAUAUACUCAAGAAGUUAGAAACGUUAGAUGAUGAAAAUAUUAUCGGUUCAGGGGGUUUUGGAACUGUUUACAAGCUUGCAAUGGAUGAUGGCAAUGUGUUUGCAUUGAAAAGAAUAAUGAAGACAAAUGAAGGCCUGGACCGGUUCUUUGAUAGGGAACUUGAAAUUUUGGGAAGCAUUAAACAUCGGUAUUUGGUCAAUCUCCGUGGGUAUUGCAAUUCCCCUUCGUCUAAGUUAUUGAUCUAUGAUUAUUUACCUGGCGGAAGCUUAGAUGAAGUGUUACAUGGUGAGAUUCAUUUUUCUUCAAUUACUUAAUUGCUGUUUCUUGCUUUGAGUCCUGAACUUUUCUAUCUUAAAUCAUACUUUAGCCGGUUUCUGAUAGACUAUUAAAUAGAAUUGAGCUAGAAUACUUUUGGAAGUCGCCUAUUUUCAACUUUUUGGCCCUUGGAUCAAGAGUAAACAAUGGUGGGCCCCCCUAUUGUGCAUGUCUCCAAGGGCCAAAAAGUUGGAAGUUCAAAAGUAUCCUAUUAAAUAUAAUUUAUUAUCUUUGUUUAGAAUAAACUUAACAAUAUGUAUAAGUAAAUAUGGCAUAUAAAUAUGACGUAAUCAUAUUCUACGGUGUAUAAGAAUACUUCAUCCCAUCAGAGGGGGUAUUAAUUGAAAAGAAAAAUUACUGGAGGGGAAGGCUGCCGUAGGCACACAGUUAAUAUUGUAAUAUCUUUGUCUUUUGAUAACAUGCCACAUCAGUAGUUUGGCAGUUCUAUGCUUGGAAGUAAUAUGCCAACUGCAUUGUAACUUGAGCAGAAAGAUCUGAGCUCCUAGACUGGGAAGCACGCCUCAAUAUAAUCCUGGGAGCUGCAAAAGGCCUUGCGUAUUUGCAUCAUGAUUGUUCGCCUCGAAUAAUACAUCGAGACAUUAAAUCAAGUAACAUAUUGCUUGAUGGGAAUUUUGAGGCUCGUGUUUCUGACUUUGGGCUCGCAAAAUUGUUGGAAGAUGAAGAAUCUCAUAUUACUACAAUAGUUGCUGGAACAUUCGGUUAUCUUGCUCCAGGUAUGGCAUAAUUGAAUAUUUUUAGAUAUCAUAAGAUUUCAGUGUCAAAAUUAUGUCAUCCAUUGUAACUAUAAAUUUUCAAAGUCUGGACAUUUUAUAUGUUCUCCAUUCAUUUGAAUAUUUUGCUUAAUUCCUGUGAUCUGACAAAGUAGAAACUAAUGUUUUCAAAAAUAGUGGUGGAUUAGUUGUUUAAGUUGUAGGUUGCCUGGAGAUCGGAUGAACUUCAUUGCAACCUCUUAGGCGCGCAUAUUUUAACUUAAAUUGUUUUUGCUAUGAUUAAGAAUUUGGUAUACACCUUCCUUUUUUUUUCCUUCGGGUAUGAAGAGGGUUUAUUAGAUUUAGUUGCCUCAUGACUUAUAAAGCUGCGGUUUCAGGUUUCUUUCGUAUGUAGCUAUUUCUGACAAGAGUUAACCUGCAGAGUACAUGCAAAGCGGCAGAGCAACUGAGAAAACUGAUGUCUACAGUUUUGGAGUUCUGGUGCUUGAGGUGUUGAGUGGAAAGCGGCCUACAGAUGCUUCGUUCAUUGAGAAAGGGCUGAAUAUCGUUGGAUGGGUAAGGCUCUUUUUUUUUAAUGCUGGUUCUUUCUUUUGGUGCUGUUGGAGCCGACUAUACUAUUUCAUUAUUGGACCACAAGGUUCUUCGUAGAUUUAAGUAUUAUUAUAUCUCUGCUCGCUGGUCUCUAUGUCCUCAAGUUUUAGUUUAGAUAGCGUGAGGGGAUUGUCUGAAUAAGACCGCGGAUGGCGACUAAUUUCUGUUUGGCAAUAAAAUAUGCAGAAGCUAAUUCAACUGUAAUAGAUUUGACCUUAUCAGCAUGCCUUUCCUUGAGCAGUUGAAUUUCUUGGUUGCGGAGAACCGCCGAAGAGAGAUAAUUGACCCUAACUGCGAAGGUGUUCAGAUUGAUAGCCUCGAUGCUUUGCUCUCGGUUGCAAUUCAGUGCGUGAGCUCCGCCCCUGAAGACCGCCCCACAAUGCACCGCGUGGUCCAAAUGCUGGAGUCCAACGUUAUCACGCCAUGCCCGAGCGACUUCUACGACUCGGACUGAGCAAUUGCAUUGGGCGAUUCAUAUGGGGAUGAAAUGGAGAGAGUUAUAUCCUCUGGCGGGUGGGUGGUUAUCGGAGCCUCUGAUGAAUAAUGCAUGCGCUUUUCAUUCGUUUAUUCUUUACCUGCGGCUUCUGUAAAUGCUUCUCCCCAUGUUCAGCUUCCUUCAUUCAAAACUUUUUCUUUCGAGGGUACAUCGUCAUAUCGACAUCAUCUUGUUUUAUUAUGUAGAACUUGAGCUAGUCUUGGUGGUGGUGUUGUUUAAUUAAUGAACUAUUUCUGUAUGACUUGUACGUACGUUGUUAGCGGGAGUAAGUAAACUACUGGUAUAAUCGAAGAGAUGGCGCCUGUUCGUUUUAUGUAUGCCCAAGUAAACUACUGGUAGAUUCCCACCUACGUUGAAUGAAAGAAAUAAACUUUUCACUGUUGGCUGAAAAAGGCGGAGGAUUAACAGUAGUAUUGUUCUUUGAUUAAGCAACCUGCAUCAUGAAUUCAUGAUGGUAGUAUUUAAUACAAUUUUUUUUCAGUUGAAAAUUCUAUUUCUUUAAUAAAAACUUUUUUAACUAAAAAUUGGAAAACUCAUAGGUACCGUUUGGUUCGGGUAUAAGAUAGAACUGCUAGUUCCAGGGAUAGGUAUAAAUGUUGGAACUAGCUAGAACUAGUGUAUUUUUGUGUUUGGUUGAGUAUUAGAUUUGUACCAGGUAUAAGAAAAAUAGUGUUUGGAUGUAUAAGAUAGAAUAAGAGGAAUAAAGUAUGAAAGGAAUUAAAAAUAGGUAACAAAAAUUAAUUAAAUAAAUAAUGAAUUACAAU